AGACAACUGAGAGCAGAAUCAAAAGGGAGUUUGAGGCUUAUGGGCCAAUCAAGCGGGUAGGUACUUUAGAGCAUCCCCAAGUGGGGUUCAGGUUAUUGACUUUUGACUUCGGUAAGAGGUUCAGUUACCUCUGUCUAUUUUCUGGUGGUUUCUUUCUCCUAAAUCUUUUCUCUCAAUUUUCAAACUUUAGGAAACUUGUGAUUAUGAAUUUUAUUUUUUUUUUUAACUAUUUCUAAAGCCAAAUUGCAUCUUUUCAGCCCUGGCAGCCUACUGAUUACAUCUGCCUAUAGUUUCUUUUACUAAGUUAAAUGUUCAAUACAAAUGUCUAACAGAGAAAUGCUUAACUACGAAAUUUUGUUGCUGUCCUCUGAUGAAUAUCCAUAGCACUCAUUUAGUUAGACCCUUGGUAAAUCAGUGAAAAAAUGUUUGCUGCUUGACAAUUGAUUUUGUGACUCCACCUCCUUGCCACCUUGAUAUCUGCGAUGCAUCACAAUUGUGAAGUUUUGUGCUUAAACAGUAAGUGUUCCUAAUGAUGCAUAGUGCACAUAAGGUAUAAGUUCAAAAUUCACUGUCAGCUUCCUAUCGAGUACUAUUUUUGGUAGAGGUUUUAUAUGUGAUGGGUAUUGUAGCACAGGUACCAUUUCCUAUCUUCCAGUAUGAUAUACGGAUUUGUUUUGCUUAACCAUUGUUAGUUCUUUCUUGGAUAUAGUUCGAAUUUUAAAACUCUCCUUGGGACUUGGGUAAUAUACUAGAUUCUAGGUACUACUUUAGCAUUAAGCUUCAUCAUAUUGAGCAAUAUCCCUGGUAAGGGGGUGGUUACUCUGUUCCACAAAUGGUAUAUUUGGUUCCUCUGUUUUCUACCAUGUCCAUUCCAAAGAUGGUGCUUCAUCCUGCAUGGCAAAGCUGAAAAUUUUAAGUUGAGCAGAGCAGUGAUGGAUUGUGCCUUUUGGCCUUUAUUUUCAAGCAACAAAAGGGGACAGACAACUUCUGCUCUUUUUUCCUACACUUGGGUAAAACACGUAGGGAGUAUUAGCAUCUCUUUCUCCUUUAUUUGAAUUUUAAUGUGUGCAUUUCCUGCUACUAAAAAUUUUACUUUUGGCUUUAAAGGCUAUCAAAAACGUAUCAGCAGUUGAGAAGAUAUCCUGGUAUUUCUGAUAUUAUUUUAACUAUUUCAUUAUAUAUAAAAAAAUUUCCCUGGUAAGGGGAGGUUAGUAUGUCAACUGGUAAAUUGGCCACACACAUCGGUUUUUCUGCAACUCUAGAAGUGCUGGUGAUGCAUCUCGCGUUGGAAGCUGUAUAUGAUUAAAAGGUGAGCACGGCUAAUGAGGCAUAUGCCUGUCUGCCGUGCCAUUUAGGAUUUACUAUUUCUAACUUCUUCUUUUUUUCUAUAGGAUUGGCACCUGGUUGCUAAGAUCAAACAUCAUCUGUUUCAAUAUGUUUUCUUGAUUCAGAUAUGAAUCUACUUUUAUUACUUUAGUUUAUUUAACCUUUUUCUUUGAGCUUUGCAGGUCCGACUCAUUACCGACAAAGAGACUAGUAAACCUAGAGGUUAUGCUUUCAUUGAAUAUAUGCAUACACGGGAUAUGAAAGGUUUGCUAUAUAGCUUGAGCAUUUAUUGGUUUUCAUCUGAUGUGCUUUAUAUUUUGUUUCUGAACACCACUUGUUUGUGUCAAAUUCAGCUGCUUAUAAACAAGCUGAUGGAAGGAAGCUUGAUAACAGAAGGGUGCUGGUUGACGUUGAACGUGGUAGAACUGUUCCUAAUUGGCGUCCCCGCAGACUGGGUGGUGGACUUGGAACAACUAGGGUUGGAGGUGAAGAAGUGAAUCCAAAGUAUUCUGGAAGGUAAUUGGCCUGAUUGCAAUGUUUGCACAUGCUGUGUUCCAUGGAGAAAGAAUUCGUGACUUUUAUUGCCUUUUAAAUAAAUCUUGUUGCAUGCAUUAUACAGUAGAUUCGUAGGGAGAAUUCAAUGAUGUGAAGGUUUUUUGAUGGGCUUAAGUAGGGAUUAUGUUAUACCUGAUAUGAUUUUUGGCAUCUCAAUUAAUAUAACAUAGAGAUGCCACAUUUAAGUAUGCAACUAUAAUUUGAUGUCUUGAUAUUCUUGAAAAAUUUAACAUGUUUUACUUAUCUUCUCCUCUCGUGCAGAGAGCAGCAGCCAGUAGGAGGACCACCUCGGUCUGAGGAGCCUAGGACAAGAGAGGAUCGGCAUGGAGACCGGUAUGAUCUAUAUUGAUAUGUUGGUUGUUUUGCAUUUCUCCAAUUUUGUUUGGUCUUGGUGGUAUGUGUUCAGUAGGAAAAAAAAAACUUGUCUAAGGUAGAAAGAGGUUACAAAGAAUAGUUAUGGUCAUAUUGGUGAUUGGAUCCCCAAUACAAGAAAUGGUUGGAUGUGGUCCAUAGAUAUGCUUAUGAUGUUUUAGCACAUGGCGUUGACUUGCUUAUUCAAAUGAUGGUUUAAAUGGGAAAAUUUCAUUUGUGGUGUCCAUGAAGUUGUUUCCAUCUAGAAAUUUUCAAGCAUGGUUAGUUGGACAAAACAAAGCCAGUGUGAAGCCUUCCUCUUGGCAUCUAGAUGGGAGGUCAUACAAAAUUCUUGUUCUUUCUGACUUCUCAGUUUAUGGUGCAUGUAGUUAAAUUGAAAAUGUCUUACGGGUUGGAAAUUUUCCAUAUUCAUAAUGUUUUUUCGAUUGGAAUUCUUCAGCCACUGCUAAUAAGGGAUGAAAUGGGGCCAUGUAAUUCAUGGCUUCUAGGUUAAACUAAACAAGAUCAUACUAAAUCCUUGUUAUUUGUAGCUUCUGUAGCUUCUUCAGUACUUUAUACAUCUGAUUGAGAUUGAAUUAUGUUUCAGGGACAGGGAAAAAUCCCGUGAAAGGGGAAGGGAUAGAGAGAGGGAACGGGAAAAGUCUCGUGAACCCGACAGGGCCAGAGAUCGGGAUCAUAGAGAGGAUAGGCACCAUAGAGAUCGUGACAGAAACCGGGAUAAGGACAGGGACAGAGAUAGGGGUCGUGACAGGGACCGCACCCGUGAUCGUGAUCGGGGUCGGGACCGUGGUCGUGAUUAUGAGCGAGAGCGUGACCGAGAUCGUGAUCGUCCUAGGGAGAGAGAAAAGGAGAAGGAGAAAGAUAGAGAUAAGGACUAUGAUGCCGGGGAACCUAACUAUGACCGUGGGCGUUCUCGUGAUAAAGAAUAUUAUGAUCACAUGGAAUCAAAGCAUGAGCGAGAACGACAUGGUGAAAGGGACCGGGACUUAGAACAUGCUGGGCCUGAGGAUGAUCAUGGGUGGUAUGAGCAGCCUGAGCAUGGGCAUAGGCGUCCAGAAGCUGAACAUGAUGAUGAGCAUUACAAGCACUAUGAUCAUCAAGCUCGAGGACAGUAUGAUCAUCUGGAUGCCCAGGGUGAUCACGACCUUUAUGAUCGUCAUGCUGACAAUGAUCGUGAUCGUUACAACCAAAUGGAUGAGGAUAAUUACCAUUAUGAUCAUGCAGCAUAUGACUCUCGUGAAAGGGAUAGGACUCGGGAUCUGGAGCGUGAAUAUCGGCGCUCAGAGAGGUCACUCUCCCGAGAUUUCGAACACUGAAGUCCUGGUUUUCAAUAUCUUUGACUCGCUGUUUUGUGCUAAAAAGUAACCUCUUUCUCUAGAUGCCUCUCACCAAAUCUACUGCUUAUAUCUGUAUCUGACUUGCUUUUAAUUACGUGAUGGAAUACAGGGGUUUACAGUCGAGCUCAAACAAGUGUGGUUUACAGCCGCUGCAUCAAGUAUGUACCCUUGGAGUCGUGUUUUACAUUUUGAUCCAGACCAUUUUGUGUGUUUUGAACUCUUUUUAUCUGGGAUGUUUUGAGAUAUAUUUGGUUUGGAAUUUGGUAGCAUCUAUAUUUGACAUUUGAAAUUGAGUGGGACGGUACUAAAUAUCAUAUUUGUAGGACUCAUCUUCCUAAUUGCAAGACCUUUAUCAACUUUUUUAUGUAAUUUUGGACCCUAUGUUCUAUAUUCGUUUUUGGAUGGCGUCCCCAUUUUUUUGUAGGUGGUUUGGGUUGAAGGGAUUUCCCAUUGUCCAUUUUGGGGGAUACAGAUGAAGUUUUGAAUUUUUUUAGGUUAACUGGGGUUUAAAGCAUUUAUACACUGCAUGCAGUGGCACCAAAAACUUCCCACCUAUUUGAUCAUCAAUUUAAUUUGCUAAAUAAAACGGAAUUGAGCGAGCAAAUGAAUGUGCUUCCAAUGAUGUAGAUAUCCUCGAGUUCAGGCUUGCAUUCUCAGUUUUUCUUCGUUUGUAGGAAUUAUAAAAACUGGCUUGCUUUAGCAUGAAUCGUUUGAAGAAGAGAAACGGCACGCAAAAUAUAUAUUGGCAUGUUUAGGGAAGCGAUACCGGUGGAUGAUGGAUCUUGGAUUUAGUCAAAAUCCGGAAAAGUUCUCUCUUUUUCGUACACUCUAAUAAUUCUAAUUGUUUAACUACAGCUGCCCAGACAGCAGGCGGGAUAGUUACCACGCAGAUUCACCCUUUGCGCCCUUUUCAUGAGGGUUGCUUGGUGUUGAAGAUUUAUAUUACAUAAUUUACAGUGGAUGUUGAAAAUUUACACUAAAGGUAAAAGCAAUUGCAUAGAAGAUCAUAUUUCAAGUUGUACCCAUUUCCAAACCAUAAGAUCUCAAAGGUUUUCUAAUGCUAAAAUUGGGUAAUUUAAUGUCAUUCUUGAAUUGGCCUCAUUUUCCCUGAAAAAUAAGUAUUGGAAAAAAGUUCCACCUGGAACUCAAGAAACGUCAACACCAGUUGAUCCAAACCAAUCCUCGCACUUGAAUCCAAGCCCUUGAACUUCCAGAACUCUUCUGAAUCAUGUCUGGCUCUCGCUUAAUGCUUAACACGGAGUUUGAAGAAGGCGAUCCUUCUUACUAGGUUCUCUGGUAAGCAGCAGCACCCACCCAUGAAAUUAUUGCUGAAUAGAGCUCCAACUCUGCACAGAUUAGCACCUCCCAUCCUCGGAGAAGAGACUGUUCCAACCUUCCAACCUUGAGCUAUUUGAACAAACAGUGAAAACAGCAGAUUUAUUGAACAAAAUGGUUGGAGCCUGGAAGCGUUUUAAAUAAUGAAAGAAGGUAAAGCCAUUUUUGGUAUAGGAAGAUAAAAACAAAAGAUAAUCAAUACAAAACGUUAGCUGUAUAUGAUCAUAUAAAUCAAUCCAGCAGCAUGAAACACAGAAAUAAUUUAUACUUCGGCCACCCCUCUUCCAUACCAUCUCAACUUAUGCCACAGCAAAUCACUCCUCUUCAAACCCAUUCACCAGGUGAGCGGGAGGCCCAACUGUAUUUUCUAUACUUGGAUUCUAAAUCGUUCCAAUCGAUGCCUUUGAUUUAAGCUUAAUAUUAAUGUAAUAUGGCUGCUGAUAAUAGAAUAAUUAUAAAACAACAUUUUUUUAAAUAUUAAUUUUUUUAAAAAAAAUAAUCUUCAAAUACUACAUUCAACGGUAAAAAAACGGCACAUAUAUUUGCUUCUUCCUCGCACAGUACAAAAACUGUAUAUAUACAGUGUGUAGGGAGCGCUCCUCAGUUAGAAUUGAAAGAGAUGUAUUAUUUAUUUGUUGGGGAGUGCAUAGGAAUAUAAAAGAGACUAUAUGUUCAUUUGGGACAGCAUGGGAAUAUAAAAAUUAAAGAGGGAGAUGAAGAAAAGGCCAAGAAAACGCUGAAGCAGCAAUGAAGCUUCACAAAUUUGCUUGAAUUUUCGUCCAGUCACAAUGAUUAUACUGCACAAGAACAGUACCUUCAUCGUACUUGAAACUCUAGUUUCACUCCUCUGCAAUUCGAACGUUGUGGUUGGUUCCUCGAAACUUCCUACACUUUCUAUUUGGUUGUUUGUUUGUUUUAGCUUUUAUUUUGAUCCUCCAAGUGGUUAUUCCACAGUAUACCUUUCUUUUUCUUCUCGCUAUGAAGAACAAAAUGGAAAAGUAAAAAAUAAAAAUAAGUUUCUGCUGUUUUCACAAGUUUUGGAAUUUUCUUCUCUUUUACUGAUUUCUUUACCAGAAUCUUCAUUGUAAUAAUGAGUUGAUGAUCCGUACAGAAUGACAAGAUCUAGUCAGACUUGAAGGGUGGAUCGAAAAGCCAGAAUCAUAAGUUUCAAAUUCGUUUAUUUUCUUGACAAAUUAAAGAACAAAACCCAAGAGAAAAAAAUAGUGAAAAUGGAUAUUAAUUCAACCACUUUAAUUGAUUGAUAAGACUGCUUAGAAUGAAAGAAUUUGUUGCUGAGAUUAUAAAAGGACAAAAUUUCUUUCCACCAUCAAUGGGGUGAUUUUCUUUCUGGCAAGAGCCAGGAAGCAGCUGUGAAGCUUCCAUGAUCCCUGCGAAGAGUAAUUUGGAAGUCUACACUACUAGUAAUAAGGGUGACAAUUUAUGUUGGUGGAUUGUGUUUUUUGUUAUGUUAAAAUUUAGGUAUUUUACUACAUAGUUUCACCCAAAUCCGAGAUGAAUAAUAAUGAUGUCAAAAACAUGAACGUAAAUUAUAUCUCAUUAUUAAACAGGUUACAUGCCAUGUAACUCAUUUAACUUAUUUAAUAAUUCGAUGAUUUUAUUUAAUAAUCAAGUAUAAUUAAGUAUUAUAUAUGCCUAUUUAUAUUAUUAAUGUCUCAAUUAAACAUAUUUAUUAUUUAAUUGAUUUAUUUAUUUAAAAACAAAUUCAGAAUGAUUCAAUAAGUUAAAUAAUUUUAAAAUGUAAUUAAGUUAGUAAUGAGAUUAUUAGAUGGGUCCAUUCAUGUUUAAUUUAUAUUAUGCAAGUUGAUUUAAAAAUUACCUAUUUAUUAAGCGAGUUAUAAAGCUCGACACGAGUCGAUCCAAACUCAUUGAUACUCAAUUCAAACCUAUAAAAAUUGUGUUGGGUUGAUAUCAGCAUAUUAUAUAAAAUUUUGUCACCCCUACUUGAUCGUGAGAUAGUAAAAAACCAAAAUUACAGCAAUGGGUUUGAAUAUAUGCAAAUGGGGUUUUCAUCUUUUGUGGCUAAAUGAACAAAUCAUAGGUUUGAUUAAUGCCUAAGCCACACCAAAGCUGACAAUAACCCAAAUCAAUUGCUUCCAGUUACUACAUACACUGGCGAUCAAAAGUAGGUGAGACCUACCCAUCAGACUGGUAUUUGAAUAAAAUGGUGGUAAUAAGGCUCCAACAAACACUGUGUAGUGCUGCUUAUGGCAUGAUUAUGGAAGUGUAGUCAACAAAUAAUGAUCCAUUUUUGCAUUAAGUACAUGAAGUUAUUAGUAGUAUUAUAAAAAAAGUAAGGGAGAUUACCAUUUUUCUCAUUGUUAUAAUGGUAUAGAAAGAUUUUGGGUGUAGUGAUAGCUACAAAAUUUCAUCUUAAAAGAGGUUGGCAAGCUGGUACUAAUUACAACUGAACAACAAGGCCAACCUACAAUUUAUUACCUUAAAAGACAGUUACUUAAGCUUCCGGGAAGUUUCAUGCAAUAAGCAAAAAAAAAAAAAAGAAGGAUUAGAUGGAAACCUGGUGUUUUGAUUUUCAUUUCUAAUCUUUCCAAAAUUUUACUCUUCAAUGCUAUGCCACCAAAAGGGUGGUUCAUUUUCAAUGGUAUUUGUUUGACAAAAGAUUCAGAAUUUGGAAACAUGGAUGGGGAUAAAGGGCUGAUUUGAGAUGGGUUUUUUUUCUUCCCUUUUGAUCAGUAGGUGGAAUUACAUAGGAUCCAUUGAUUCCCUGAGAUGAUAAAAAUAAAUACCAUCAAAUUACCCCCUUAGAAAAGGCUUCAUCACAGUUGGAAUUAUUAGCUUAGUAUAUCAAGUUGGUCUUCUGUUCAUUGCCAGUUUGACAAGUGGCUCAAAAGCACCAAGGCCCACAACUACCUAUUGGCAGCUUCUGCCAUUCUGCCAAUGAAAACAUUAAAAUAGAAUGAUUCCAUGCCAAAAGUUUCCUUUGAAAAUAUUCAGGCUCCACUCAAUUUUAAAAACAGCCAUGGGUGUCGCCUAAUGCCCCUUCUUGAGAAGGCAUUAAAAUAUAUGUAUAUUAACCAAAUCGCACACCACCACAAAAUAAAUAAAUAAAAAAUAACAAGAGUUUUUUACAUAUUUUGACGAUGAAUGUAAUUUUUAUAUGCAUAAAAUGUAACAAUACUCAAUAAUCCAUUAAUAAAAAAAAAAUGAGAAGUUACAAUUACAGUCACAUUAUCUAAAAAAACAAAAUUUUAAAUAUAAAAAUACUAAAUAUAUAAUAGAGUUAAAUUCGUUAAUCAUCACAUAAAAUAAUAAUAAUAAUAAUGAAACUUGGCAUUGUCCCUUUCAAUUCACACGAGCUGAUCGAAUAAUUCAAUCAUCGACAUUAACGUGUGUGUAUAUAUAUAUAUAUAUAUAAUAUCUUUAAAAAAUGACUUGAUCCAAUGGAAUCAUCUUAAAAGAUUUUUUUUUUCUCAAUAAUGAAUAUUAUGUAACAUUCAGAGGCCCCACGUAUAAUUUCGAUCUAAAAUCUCAUAAUGAUAUUUCAAGCACACGCGAAAAUACCCAUAUGUUAUUAUUUGAUGUAGUCUGAUGUGACAAAUAACUGAAAAAGUGAAUGAAAUAUAAAAAAUAAAAAAAAACCUCUACGAUUAAAAAAGGAAAAGAAAAAAAAAAAGCACCUGAAUUACCCAGAGAGAGAUUUAUAAAUGUAAAGAGCAGGAAGGAAGAGAAGAGUGCGCUCCUCAUUCCCUCAUCUCUUCCCCCGCCUGUGUGCUUCAAGGAGAAAGACACAGAACAGGAAGAAGAGAGAGAGAGAGAGAAAAAAAAAAAAAAAAAGGAAUUCCAAUAAAAAAAAUUGGAAUAGGAGUUCUCACUAGCCAUAGAGCAGCUGUGUGGGUGUGUGCUAGCUUUCAAGGUUCUCACACAACCAACAUGGCUCGGCUUGGGGUUAACCAGCGAGCUGUAGCGGCGGUAGCAGCAACAUCAGCAUUGGUGGUGUGCUUGGGGCUUGUCAUGAUGAGUGGUGUAGGCAAUGCAGAGAGACUUUUGAAGGCAGAUGAUCGGCCAGCUGAACAUUUGGUUAACAAAAAUAAGGAACCAGGAUUUCUAUCCAAAGUGGUUCACUUUCUCUGGCAGAGUGGGAAGUCUUCAUAUCAGCAUGUUUGGCCGGUGAGUUAAGAAGACCGCUUUUCUGUUCAACCAAACACAUCUCACUAUCAUAGUAUCUUUAAUUAUAUAUCUUGAUAUUCUAUAUUUUGGUUGAACAGGAUAUGAAGUUUGGGUGGAAACUGGUGGUAGCUUCAAUAAUUGGAUUCUUUGGUGCAGCAUUGGGGAGUGUAGGAGGAGUAGGAGGCGGUGGGAUUUUUGUUCCAAUGCUCACCUUGAUCGUCGGCUUCGACCCCAAGUCCUCAACUGCCAUUUCUAAAUGUAACUUACUGAUUUUACAUGAGAAUUAAGGUGUAAGAAAACUUUAAAUAAUAAGGGUUAUUUACAGUUUGUGUGUGAAUUGCAGGUAUGAUAAUGGGGGCUGCAGGAUCAACAGUAUACUACAAUAUGAGGCUUAGACAUCCAACACUAGACAUGCCCAUCAUAGAUUAUGACCUGGCCUUGCUCUUCCAGCCCAUGCUCAUGCUAGGCAUCAGCAUUGGUGUUGCCUUCAAUGUCAUCUUUGCUGAUUGGAUGGUCACUGUUCUCCUUAUCAUCCUCUUCUUAGGUAAUAAUUCACCAUCUAUUUGUCUCACAGAUGGUUUAUAGUGAGUAAGGUUCCUUGGAGAGUUAGACUUCAUCUUUAUUUCUUGAGUGCAGAAGGUUGCUCCAUAACUGUUUUUGAAAACACAUUUAACAAAAAAAAAAAAAGAACAAAAAAUCUUUUAAAUUUAGAUUGUUUUUACUUAUUUUUUAAAAACAAUUAUGCAAAUACAAAGAAUGAUCAUUAAAAACUAAAGCAUUACGUAUAAAAAUUAUUUUUAAAAAUAUAAAAAAAAAAAAAGUUAAAAACAUAUCAAAUUAUCAAGCAAAUUUUUGUUUUACAAAACAUAAAAAGAAAAAACAAUUUUUAAAAACUCUUUUCAAAAAUUAUUUUUAAAAAUUAUUUCCUAAAACACUUCUUAGCUUGCUUUAUUUAUUUAUUUAAUUUUUGUAAUGAUGACGUAAGGUUUCUUCUUCUAACUUAAUAACUUUUUUUUUUUUUUCCUGUGCAAUUAUAAUCUUCUUUUACAAGUUAGUACCUCUUUCUGAGCAACUGCAUAUCUUCUCUGUUAAUUAUGCACUUAUGCUCAAAACUAUAAUGGCGGUAGGUACAUCAACUAAGGCUUUAUUCAAAGGCAUAGAAACAUGGAAGAAGGAGACAAUCAUGAAGAAGGUUAUUCAAAAUUUUCACCUACAAUUAUUAGUAUUAUUAUUAUUGCCUCUCUUUGGUUUUCCUUAGUCUCAGAGCUUUUUAAUUUGAGAUUUGGCUUUAUUUUCAGGAAGCAGCUAGGCUGUUGGAAGCAGAGACCAAGCCAACUGGUGAGUAAUGUCCUCUAAGCAAAUGUUUCCAGAAAUAAUGAAAUUAAAUGCAUGAAAUUUUCAUCCAUGAUCCAAAUCAAUAUCACUACAAACCCCUUGAGAGCUUGCUUGACCCAGAAAUGAAACAUAUAGGAUUGGUUCUUGGGAGAUGAAGAAUGAGAUAAAUUGGUGGAUGUAGCUGCAAAAUGAUCAUAAAUAAGAUCUUGUGUUAAUAGUCUCAUGCAAUUGCAGAUAAUACUGGAGGAGGGGAUUACAGACCACUACCCAGUGGUCCGGCUACCAUCCGAGAUGAUCACGUAAGUCUGAGAAUACCUCAGACGUUUCUCCACCAGACUAGUACUCCUCCCAGACUGAUUCUCAACUAAUUAACUGUUUUCUUUCUCUCUUAAUUAUUAUCAACUCCAUCCAGGUUCCCGUCAUAUACAACAUUUGCUGGAAAGAGUUGGCACUGCUAGUGUACGUGUGGGUGGCUUUCCUUGCUGUUCAGAUUGUCAAGGUAUAGCGUUAAUCAAGCAGCCUAGAAAAUCUCACCUGUCUUUCUGAUUCAUCUACGUAACCUCUUUAGCUGCAUACUGAACAUGAUGUUUUUAUAAAUCUCUAUGCAGACAUACACGGUGACGUGCUCAAUAGAGUAUUGGGUUCUGAAUUGCUUACAGGUAAGAUCUCCAGCAUGAGAUAAUUGGCUUCUGAAUAUCAUAUGAUCUCAAGUAUCAAACCCCCGUUCAAUAACAAAAUUCGGUAUCCCUUAGGUACCCAUUGCGGCCUCAGUUUCGAUAUAUGAAGCCGUAUGCUUGUACAAAGGGACCAGGGUGAUUGCAUCAAAGGGAAAGGAAGUCACAAACUGGAAGAUACAUCAGAUUUUUCUUUACUGUUCAUGUGGGAUAGUAGCAGGCUUAGUGGGUGGAUUGCUUGGGCUUGGAGGCGGCUUCAUCUUGGGACCCCUUUUUCUUGAAUUGGGAAUUCCACCCCAGGUAGACUACAUUCCUCAACCUCUCUUAAGCGCCUUUAAGUCAGAUAUAUCAUGCAGGUCUAUAACAACGUUAAACCAAUUGUUUGACAAAGUUGUACCCUUUUUGCAGGUUGCGAGUGCAACAUCAACCUUUUCAAUGGCAUUCUCCUCCUCCAUGUCAGUUGUACAAUACCACCUUCUAAGGCGCUUCCCAGUCCCAUAUGGUUGGUGGCAAUAACAGAAACAUAUAUAACUCCUCAUAUUGAUUUCAAUUGUUACCAAACUUUGAUAUCAAAAACAAAAAUGAAGUAUUAUUCUCAUGUUUCAAUACUUUUGUUGCAGCUUCUUAUUUUGUCCUAGUUGCUACAAUAGCCGCCCUUGUUGGUCAGCACGUGGUCAGAAAAGUAAUAAAACUUGUAGGCAGGGCUUCAAUAAUCAUCUUCAUUUUGGCUCUCACAAUCUUUAUCAGUGCAAUCAGUUUAGGUAUAUUUCCCUCUUUAUCUUUUUUUCAAUUUCGCUUUUCAGAUUUGUGUGUGUGUGUGUGUUGAGGGUGUGGUGCUCAAUUUCCAUGGUGAAUUGCAGGCGGAGUGGGCAUAAUGACUAUGGUUGAGAAGCUGGCGAACAAUGAGUACAUGGGGUUCGAUGAUCUCUGCUAUCAGUCUUAGAUUUUCAUGGAGUUUUUCAGCAGAUAAAAUACAAAUACCUGCGCUACAUUUCCUCGUCUCCCUUCUGUUCCAUUUAUUUUUUUUCCUCUCAUUUUCAUGAAAAUUAUGCCUUGAUUACGUUAAAUUGAUGCCAAUUUCACUCUACUAAUUGUAUCUACGAAGGCCCUAGACCCAUCAUGUUUUUGCCUUUUCAUUCAAUGUUCAUUCUACAUAGAAUUUUAGCCUAUGAAUUGUGUAAGAAAUGAGUAUGUGCAAUAAUAAGAUGAGAUGUGAAUGCUGUACAUUUGUUUCAUGUCCACACAAUUACCAACAAAAAAAAAUGCUCAAGGAUAUUACUUACCAUUUUUACAUGCAAAUCUAUUCAUUUUUCUCCCUUUUAAAGUUAUUUCUUAUAAGUAAACAAAGAUAAAAAAUCAUCUCAUCAGAGCAUGCAUACAGAAAUUUUGCUUCCAUUUAGUACAAAGCAUUGGGUUAUUAAAAAGGAAGCCCCUAGAUUUGGUUCCAAAACUGACCGACCUCCCAAUAUUGCAACAUGGCAUUACUAUACCAAAUCCAUAAUUGAACACGAACGCUAGUCUCAUGCAACAUUCCCAGUUAAUUUUCACGGUACAUCAUUUCAUCUUCUCCAUGAUCUCUUCAGUAUUUCCUCCCAAACCUUCCAGCUCCGCCUGUCCUCCAUAUUCUCAUGGGUUCACAGGGGUAUCAGGCAUGGCUGCCUUGCUCAGCAUCUUCGGUUGUCUAGGUUUUAUUUCAGUACUGGCGCUGUUGGCUUUUUGGAUUCGUGCCAUUCGGAAAAAUAUAGCGAUCUCUCAACGUCGACAUGGGGGCCGAAGAGGGGAUCCGGAUAAAAUACAGGAAGAAGAAGAAGAGGGAAGAGGAGGUGAAUGUUCUGAAUCAUAUUCGCCAAAGAGUAGUGUGCUGCCGGCGCGACUGCCCCUUAUAAAGUAUGAGGCGAUGGAAGGAGGAGAGAGCGGGUGCAGUAUCUGUCGCAAGAGCUUCAAGGAGGGGGAGCCGUGCCGGGUGAUGCACGAGUGUGGGCACAAGUUCCACUACCUUUGUGUUGAUCCUUUGGUGAUCAAGCCAACUGCAUGCCCCAUCUGUCGCAUGUCGCACUUGCCCUUUGUCUAUCAGAUGUGUGCCUGAAUUAUAUAUUUUGAAGCACUUACCGUAUUUUAAAUUUUAAUUGAUUCUUUAAUGAAAUUUUAUUUUUUAUUUUAUCCCAUCAUUUCACAGUAUUUUUAAGGACUAAUUCUUCCCGUGCCCUAAUUUGAAGUUUUCUCCUGGUAUUUUUACAGCACGAGGGAAGUAAUUUGAAUGGACUACUUCGAUUCAAUCCGAAUCUAAUUUGAUGUUUAGUGGGCCUGAAUAAUUAUCCUCACUAAUCGGGUUGGACUUGAGUUUAAAAAGACAAUGUAGUGUUGAGAAGGGACCCUUCUCAACACUAAAUUGUCUUUUAUUGUUCAAUGUUUUUUUUAAAAUUAUUAUUAUUUUUAUUUAAUUAAAUUUGGAUUGAAUUUGGGCUAAGGUUCAGAGAAUUCGAACUUAACCUGAACUCUAUUUAAUGUUUUUGCAAUUUUUAUAAUGCAUAUUAUCUUAUAUAAUAAUAGUUAUUUUAUUUUUCUAUUUUUAAGAAAAAAAAUAUCAAAUUAUAUUAUAUCAUAUAUUUUUUAUUUUUUUAAAUAUAAAUUUAUGUUCUUGAAAUUUUUUCAUAUUUAUUAUUUACAUUUUCAAAUAAAUACAUUAAAAUUUUAAAAUAUAUAUAUAUUAUAAAUGGAUUUUUAAUUAUGCAAUCCUACCAACUUGAAUUUAAUUUGAACAAUCCGAACUUAGAAAAAUAAGAUUGGGUUGAGCUCCAUUAAUUGUUUCUUAAUUUGGGUUAAAUUCAAGUUAAUCAUCAACCCGACCAAUCCAUCCACCAACUUCUAUGUAAUUUAUAUAUAUUUGCUGGGCAAAAAUAAUGUGAAUACUCUUAUAAUUAAAACAUGUGCUAAAAUAAUUUUGAAAUUCUAAUAAGAAAUAUUAAAGACAUUUAUCUAAAUUCUCUCCACCUCAUUUUUUAAAAUAGUGAAAUAAUUAAAAUACUCUCUCCAAGUACCCCAUCUGAAACCCUAAUUUUAUUUCUUUUUCUUUUCUUUCUUUCUUUCAAUUUUUUCCUUCAUUUUCUUCUCUUUAUAUUUGAGUUCAAAGAUAACUUCUACGGAUGAUCUCUGCACAUAUGAGUUAUCUUUACAAUCCUAAUUAGAAAGUUCUUGAUUCAAGUCCCCCUUUCCCUUUCCCAUGUCAGAUAGGAGGGCAGUAACAUAUUUGGUAAUGAGUUGGGCUUGUGUGCUCAGCCCCAACGCUAAGGGGGUCCAUCUAGGCCCGCUAUUGGUCGAAGGCCUGUAAAGUCAUUCAAGUAUCUGGGCCAAGCCUGAGUCUCGAAUGUCCGAGCCCAUGUUUUUACCUGCAUACUCAUCCCAUGAACAAUCGGAUAUUCAAUUUAACAACAGUACGAAGAAUGUACUGCGCGGUCCAGCUAUAAAAGGCUCUUAAAUAAGCCACUAUGUUGCAGUAAAAGUAAAAUUAAAGUUUGUCCAAUUUUCAGGCAGGCGAUCAAGGGCAGGGACCGCUCCACGUGAAACCAAAAAAUGCCAUAAAGUUAGGAAAGGAUAGCCCUACAAUUUUAUCAUGCUAUCUUCGUUUGCCCUUUUUGGAUCGGGUCAGGUUUUUAAACCGUCGCCAAACCGCUAACGGAUCAUUUUCCACACGAAGACCAUAUGGCGGCCAAAAAGGCCAAAACACAGACAAAGUCGGAAAAGAGGUUCUCUUGUAAUUAUGAGGACAUUCUUUGGGCAAAUACUAAACUUCGUUUUCCCGCCUAGACCUGUGCAGGAAAGAGAAGAGAAAAAUAAAUAAUAUUUUGGAGCAUCGCACUGUAUAUGUUUCGCCUCCACUCUCCCUUGUUUCCAGAACUGUCCAUCUUCUCUUGUCGGUUGUGGUCUGCUCUCUGUAACCACCAACACCGCAGCUCUCAAGUGAGUUCUUCUCCGAUUCCGACAUUUCACUGGUUUGUUCCCAUUUGUUUUGGUUUUUCCAUUCCCACUUUUUCCAGACGGCGUUUCUCGCUGGAUGCUGAUGGAUUUUGAAUUCCUAGUCCUCUGUUUGUUACUCGGACAACGAGAGAGAGAAAGGGUUACUCGUCUGUUUCCCUCAUUUUCUUGAGGAGCAGACCGAGCUCUGGGUUGUGGGCAUUACUCGGAUGUUUUGGAAAACCCUAGGGGUUUUUUCUUUAAUAAGGAGUUUCGUUUUUUGGUUCAUUGUGUUGUUCUGAUAAGAUUUAGUGUAAUGCGUUUAAAGAGUCAUUUACUUCUGCAGGAUUGUUAGGGUUAGAAAAUGGUACCUGGUAACGAAGUAAAGGAUGACGCCUCUGCGGAUUCUCCGACUUCAGUCCUGGAGGAUGAGGUUUGAUUCCACUUUCUUUCUUUCCGUUUAUAUUUAUGUUCGUUUUCUGCAGCAAACUUUAACAUUUUCCUCUCCUCUUUAUUCAUUCUUUCGGAGAAUGAUGUGUACUGUGUUGGGCUAAUGCUUUGCCUGUUGUUUGUGACGACUGACGAGACACAUAUGCUUACAAUUUUUCUUUUCUGCAAUUUUGUUUUUGGCACCUUGGGUUUCCAGGUUGCUAUUUUUGGUUCCCAUCGAAUCGGAGGGAAGAAAGUAUUGAUAACCAAGAAGCCAUUGGAAACAGAAAUGAAAACCUUGUUAUUCUGUUCAACUUCAUCCCCAACUUUUUUUUUUUUUUUUCCUUUUUCAUAUAUUGUCUUAGGAAUCGAAUUUAUUAUAAGGUUUUAAUACUGGUGCUGAUUCUACAACUAUCAUUGUUAUUGCUUUGGCACGUUGCUGCUUGUCUUUACCCUGAUGGUUCAAAUUUAAGGUGAUAGCUGUGGUGGCUAUUGUUAUUGAUACAUUUCUGUUAGAUGUCGGUUUUCCCUCUCUUAUGCAUGUCAAUGUAGAAAGAACGACAAUGACAAAAGGAUCAUCACAAAAACACCAUUUCCCCCAAAUGAUAAACUAUAUUUUCACAAGCUCUUUCUCAUAUUUAAUGGCAAAUUUAUUUCUUUUGUUGUUUUUAAUAUUAUAUUAUAUUACACCUUAUUGGUAAUGUGAUUUGAGGUUAUUAGCUGACAUUCUUAGGCAGAAAAAUCUACAUAGCCUGGUAUUAUUUAUUGAUUUAUCAUUUUUCAUUCAGUGUUUUCAGAAAUUUUGGUCUGUUGCUUUUAUACUUCUAAUCACUGUUUAUGGGUCAAUUCUCAAUCAGUAUUAGAUAUUUUCUGCAUAUUCAACACUAUUAAGCUUUUCUAUUUUAAUUUUUUUGUUAUUUAAUCUAAAAUGAAGGGUAUUUGUGAGGAGAAAAUUAAAGUUAAGAUGGAGGAUGACAUACUUCAUCCCCUCGAUGCAAAAAAUGGAGAUUCUUCUCUUAUAUCCGGAACCAUGGCAAAGGAAGAAGAGAUGCUGAUGAAAGAACGGGUGAAGGAAGAGGAUGCAGAACAAGUAGUGACUCAGGAGGCCCCCCACUUGAAUGACAGCCAGUUCACUAAAUUGGAUGAGCUUCUAACACAGACCCAGCUGUACUCAGAGUUUUUGCUGGAAAAAAUGGAUUCCAUCACAUUUGUAUCCUCCUGCUUACACUUUUUGAUGAAUCUUUUUCUUUCUUGCAUAAAUUUUAAUGAGUAUUGAUCAAGUUUUUGUAUGAAUUCUGUCACCAGAAUCGUGUGGAGGAGAAAGAGAGUGAAAUUGUUGAAGUAAAAAAGAGGGGUCGUGGUUCAAAAAGAAAAGCGGAAUAUAACAAUGUAAGGUUUCCAUUCUUCUCUUAUUUGUGUGAUUUCUUUUGUUUUAUUAACUCUGUUAUAUUUUUUAUGAGCCAAGAAUCUUAGUACUCUUUGUGACAUCUGUUCUUUGUCACAUUUGUGGAAUUAAGUGUUGAACAUUGCUCUGGCAAUCCUGACUCUUGAGGUCUAGAGUCCUGCUCACCUAUCUUUUUCUUUUUCUAGUGUCUUUGUCUUAUAUCUUGAGUCUGAAAUAUAAUUGGUCUUAGGAUGUUUGAUCUUUUCAUUGAAUAGUAAAAAAUCACCUGCUUUAUUUCUAGCUAUUCAUUGGGUGUUGUACAUUUUGUCUUUAGGAGUUAUGUGUCAAAUCCUUGAAACCAAAUAUUCCUUGAGGUUCUUUCUUAAUAUUUCUAUGAUGCUUUGGUUGUUUUAGGAUCUUAUGUUGAGCAUGCAGUUUAUUUAUUUGCUUUGUUUACCUAUAAAAAAAAUGCAGUGUAUUUGUACCUGAACCCUUCAUUUUUCUUUUGUCCUUUUUGCUAGCUUAUGUAAUUUAUUACAACUUCAGGUUUGAACUCAUUUCCUUCAUGCAUUUGCACCUUUUCCCUGCACUAUUUUAAGACAAUGCUAUGAUACUUUUUUCAGAGGAAGGCCAAGAGAGCAGUUGCAGCCAUGCUUACAAGAUCUAAAGAAGGAGCUACUCCUGAAGAUGUGAACCUCACCGAGGAGGAGAGAGCUGAGAAAGAGCAGGCUGGACUUGUACCCUUGUUGACAGGUGGAAAAUUGAAGUCUUAUCAGAUCAAAGGUGUGAAGUGGCUGAUCUCACUAUGGCAAAAUGGACUGAAUGGGAUCCUUGCAGAUCAAAUGGGGCUUGGAAAGACAAUUCAAACUAUUGGCUUCCUUGCACAUUUAAAAGGAAAGGGGUUAGAUGGCCCCUAUUUGGUCAUUGCUCCUCUUUCUACUCUCUCAAACUGGGCAAAUGAAAUAAAAAGGUGACUUGAAUCUUGAUUUUUUUUCAAAGGACUAGCCUGAAGGAAGUUUCUUUUAUAGCUUAUUUUAAAUUUGGUUUUUCUUUUGGAAAGGUUUGUGCCCUCAAUAAAUGCAAUCAUCUACCAUGGCAAUAGGAAAGAAAGAGAUCAAAUACGAAUGAAGUAUAUGCCAAGAACAAUUGGCCCCAAAUUUCCUAUAAUUCUGACUUCUUAUGAGGUUGCAUUAAAUGAUGCUAGAAAGUAUCUAAGGCAUUACAAUUGGAAAUAUCUUGUGGUUGAUGAGGUAAAUCCCAAACUAGUUAGUCAAUAAAUGUUCCUUCUUUUUUACUUAUAACAGAAAAGGUGGUCCAUAUAUUUUCCUUUCUUUUCACUUUAAAUUAAGCAUGAAUUGUCAGGAUGAACACUAUUGCCUUUAUUUAAUUAUCUUAGCUAGAUAUUUCCUCUUGAAGGGGCACAGAUUGAAGAACAGUAAAUGCAAAUUACUGAAGGAACUGAAGUUGUUACCCGUAGAAAAUAAGCUUCUGCUCACUGGGACUCCUCUGCAGAACAACCUGGCAGAGCUUUGGUCUUUGUUAAACUUCAUAUUGCCUGAUAUUUUCUCAUCCCAUGAAGAAUUUGAGUCCUGGUAAGAGCAUUCUUUGCCUACUGCCCUUGAUGAGUUGCCCCAGUGGCAAAAGAUUUAGUAGGGGCUGGGGAGUUUCCAGGUUCAAUGCCAUGAACCCAAAUAAUAGUUACCUAUAAAAAAGGAGAUGUUCUUGAUGAUUGGAUACCUUCUGUUUGUUCAUAAUCCAAAUAUCAGAUUAUUUUAUCUGCAGAGUUUGAUAGUUUCUUGACUUCAAUUUGAGGGUUCUAUGUAAUCAUCUACUGAUUAAAAAUUCAAUUGAAGGCUUCCUAUUAGUUUAAGCUUAAAUGCUUUCAAUAUAAUUUUAUAAAACCAAACUAGCUUGAAUAGCUCUGUUGUAGCAUUGACGAACAGAAGAAUGGAAUUCUGUUGGUGGUAUGAAUGGAAGCUUAUAAAUCUAUAAGUUCUAUUUUCCCUCUUGGUAAACCUUUUUAAUUAAUUUUUUUGUCCUUGUCAUGUUCUUGAACCAUGCUGAAAUCCUAUGAGCUGUUCUCUGAUUUGAUGAUCUGUGCAAAACAUACUAGGACACAAUGCACUUUACUACUAUGAUCAACAGAUCUCUAUCUAUACUUUACAAGGUUCUGAAAUUUAAAGUGUGAAAUUCUUAAAUUGGAUGGAUGAUGUAUUAAGAAGAUUAAGGUAAAUUUUAGGAACAAAAAGUAAAUUUGUGAUCAUUAAGUAGGAUGGUGAGUGUUUACUGCCUUGAUUUGAUGUUUAAUCUGUUUAUAACAUGAUUUCAGGUUUGAUCUGUCAGGCAAGUGCAAUAAUGAAGCAGUGGUGGAAGAAUUGGAAGAGAGGAAAAGGGCUCAAGUAUGCAAUCAUCCUGAGCAUAUUUUUACUCGUGAAAUAUUUUAUAUCGUAUAUAUAAUGCCGGGGUUCUGUUCAUGUGCAGGUGGUGUCAAAACUUCAUGCUAUAUUGCGUCCCUUUCUCCUUCGGAGAAUGAAGUCAGAUGUUGAGCAGAUGCUUCCCAGAAAAAAAGAGAUUAUUUUGUAUGCCACCAUGACUGAGCAUCAAAAGAAUUUCAAGGAUCAUUUGGUUAAUAAGACAUUGGAGAAUUAUUUAAAAGAGAAAGCAAGCACUGGUAAUGGCAUCAUUGUUACUUGUGAAUAACUGCAUUUUCUAGAUAAUGGGUCGCUGGUGAACAGAAGAAAAUAAUUGGGAACUUGUUUCUAAACUUGUUCUUUUCUUAUAUGUUUCCAGCAAUCCCUGGCAUAUUCUUGUCAUGGUGCUGUAGCUUGAAUGUGAAAUUAUUGGCACUUUCAAAAAUCAUUCUCCAUGAAAAAGUAAUUUUUUUCAAGGAUUUCAGGAAAUGGAUUAAAGGAAAAUCAGGCAUUGAUUGGGUAGUAUGUGAGAAUGGGCCCUACAAACAGCAGCAUGAAUUUUUAGAUUGAGGUCAUAGGUCCUGUGACUGGAUUCAGGUUGGAGUAUGAACCAGACUUGGAGAAAAAGGGUUUUUCUUAAUAUUUGGCUUCACAUUAGAGGGUAUUGGCCCUGAUAUUGAUUAUGUAUUUAAUAGUCCUGUAGAUUUGGGCUGGAUUGGCGUCUCCAUUGAGCAUUUGGUGUUAGCUUGGAAUAUUCAUGAAUCUAACUCAUUUCAUGAACAUGGUAGCAUACUGCUAUCCAUUCUUUCUGACGGCUGACUCAUUCAUUUCUGAUGCAGCAUUCAUUCUACACUAUACAAUCUUAGUGCUAAGUUUCAGUUGUAAAAAUGCAGGGCGUGGUGUGAAAGGAAAGCUUAACAAUUUAAUGGUCCAACUUCGGAAGAACUGUAACCAUCCUGACCUCUUAGAGUCUGCCUUUGAUGGUUCAUGUAUGUAACUUACAAUUUAGUCCAUGGUUUUAAAGUAAAUUCUUGCUCUACCAUAUCAGUUUUAAGCCAUUUUUUUCUUGAUUGUCUUUCUUUACAGAUCUCUAUCCUCCUGUAGAACAGAUAGUUGAACAGUGUGGCAAAUUCCGCUUGCUGGACAGAUUGUUGGCAAGGUUAUUUGCCCGCAAGCAUAAAGUAAGCUUUACAAUCUUUUAGUUUGUAUCUGUUCCGAUUUGUUAUUGAUCUGCUUUCUCAUCUUGUCAUACAUUUCCAAUCAGGUUCUGAUCUUCUCUCAGUGGACUAAGAUUUUGGAUAUAAUGGAAUACUAUUUUAGCGAGAAAGGACUUGAAGUUUGUAGAAUUGAUGGUAGUGUGAGGCUGGAUGAAAGAAAAAGACAGGUAGGUGAUACCUCUACAAAAUUCCUGAACUUUUGCAAUUUCAAGAAACAUUUAAAUUUUCAAUUUUUAUUUUUCAAUUUCAACCAGAAUCAGUUGGGUGGCAGAACCUAUGCUCCUAAUUUGUGAGUUCAGCUAGGCUUAUGAGGAAAGGAAGCCGUUUGUCUUUCCUAGACCCUUGGUAGCUUUUGGUUUUCUGCAUUCAACUUAGGUCUACUAUAUUGUCAAAUCUAAGGCUAUGGUUUUCAUUACAGUCAGCUUCUAUUAUCUCAAUCUAUGUUCUUUUUGAGACAUCUCCUUUAUGCAGCAAGGAACCCAAUUCAUUCCAACAAUUGCCUUCUGUUCCUGAUGUAUUCAUCUUUAUCCAGAUGAUCAUAUGUGGUGAUAUAUUUUAUGUUUGUAUUGGUUUCGUUUUAUGUGUGAGGUGAGCAUUUACUGAAGAAUAACCAUAUAACAGUGGUGAACAUGCAGAGGUUAAUGUAAUUAAUGCAUCAAUUUCAGUUGGUGCCAUAUAGGAACUGAUGAAAAUUGUCCAGAAAACUAGUCCACAGAUAGUUUCUUACUGUCAUUUAAAGCAGAACAAUUUGUUUGUCUUUUAGUUACAUCAUCCAUCCAGUGGUUGGUGCACCCAUUUGGACAUAUACAGGACUGUUUAUAGAGAAGUGGAGUCCUGUCAUUCUAGGUACCACCAAUUUUCAUAGUCACUGUAGUAUUGGAAGCCUGCUUCUUCCUUACUGUUCUGGUAAGUAAUCUGCUGUAGUAUAAUGAUAAAUCUUCUACAUCUACAAACAGAUUGAGGAGUUCAAUGAUAUGAACAGCAAUUGUAGAGUAUUUCUUCUCAGCACUCGAGCUGGUGGGCUAGGUAUCAAUCUCACUGCAGCUGAUACUUGUAUAUUGUAUGACAGUGACUGGGUAUGUUCCUGAUCUCACAUUUGUUUCAUAUUCUUUUCUUUCUUUUCCUUUUUGUUGUAUUCUAUGUAUUUCAUCUUCUAAACUGAUUGAUGUGGAAUGUGUGGCCCAGAACCCUCAAAUGGAUCUGCAGGCCAUGGAUAGAUGUCAUAGGAUAGGUCAAACCAAGCCUGUUCAUGUUUACCGGCUUGCAACUGCCCAAUCUAUAGAGGUACAACUUGCUAAUGGUUAUUUUAUUUUGGUUUUUAAAUCAUAGAACUUAAGGAUAUUCUAUCAGUAAUGAGGAGAAAUUGAGGAAAUGUUUCUUAUCAGGGCCGCAUGCUGAAAAGAGCUUUCAGUAAGUUGAAACUUGAACAUGUUGUGAUUGGGAAAGGCCAGUUCCAGCAAGAACGAAUCAAACCUAAUAUGGAUGUUUUGGAGGUUUGUAUUGUCUGCUGCAAUCUUUUUUAUUAAGUCAUUUAGGGUCUUUUUCCAUGGCAGUUCUUUAUUGGUUAUGUGGGAUUUUGCCAGGGGAUUGUGCUAUGCUUGGAAAGCCAGCAACUGAUUUAAAUUAUAUUUUAUUAUUUUCUGUCUUCUGUAUUUCCUGUAUCUCCCUCAUUUUUCUUAAAAAUAAGUUUUUCAUUGCUACUUAAUUGGUUUUCAUUUUUUUCCAAGUAACAUUAAGUGCCCUUUAUGAUUUUAUCCUUUCCUUUGUAAAGCUGUAUAUUUUGGGUUGUGAUGUAACAAACUAAAACUAAAAUUUUGAUCAGCUCGAGUCAUCACUAAUAUUCUGUUCAGGAUUCCUUCUGUUUUAGUGGCCUUAGCAUUGGCCAAGAUAUAUGUUAACCAGUUCCUGAUCAAAACAUGCGCACAUAAUGCCCAAAGAAAAAAGGGCUUCUAUGUGGUGAAGCUGAGCUGCCUGCAUGGACCUUUGCUUGUCAAAUGCAUUUGCUUGAGCUUCAGGCCGAGCUAUCAUUGGGUUUAAGUUCAGUUACCUGCAUGAGUUGCUCCACUUCCUCCUACAUUCAUGUGCCAGAAUUUAACUGUCAAUAACGUUCCUCUGCAAUGAGAAUAUGUGAUCUGUUAUUUGUUUAACUGCAUUUUCCUUAUCCCUUUUCUUAAUGGAGUUCUGUUGCUUCAGGAAGAGGAUCUGCUACAACUGCUUCAAGAUCAAGAAGAUUCUGAAGAUAAGUUGAUACAGACAGACAUCAGUGAAGAAGAUCUGGACCGGAUCUUGGAUCGCAGUGACUUGAUUGGUGAUACCUCCAAUGAUGAUGGGAGGUCUAACUCUGCCGCGGAUGCCUUUCCCCUGAAGGGCCCUGGUUGGGAAGUGAUGACACCAACCGCAAGUGGAGGCAUGCUCUCUACCCUUAAUAGCUAAUAAAGGUUCUCUGAUUGGGAGGUAGGAGCCAGGUAUCUGUGUAAGAAUGCUGGGUGUUUUGGUGUCUCUGGGCUUCAAUUUUUUCACGUCAUGGUUUUGUGUGAACCGAAGUAUGCUCUGAAAUUGAGCUCACUUUCAAUUUUGUGAAUGUCUGAAAAGAUAUACUUGGAAAGAGAGCUGAUUUUUCGUUAGCCCCUUCUCCCAGACAGAGUCAAGAGGUUAAUACCUUGAAGGUGAUAUAUAUGUAGACAUUGCCAUAUUACUUAAUGUACCUUGUACACCAGUAUAUUUUCUUAACUAUCACAAUCGUCGUAUUUGUAUUAUGUAUUUGGAUUUGGAUUCCAGUUGGACGCCAGCAGUAUGUCGAAGGUUAUGUUGCAAUCCCACCCCAAAGAAGAGUUUGAAGCCACCAUUAGGGGCAGCAUCCAGAGACAACUAAAAAUUAGCUUGAUUUGUGUUUAUUUUGUCUCUUAAAAUUUUCAGACCUAAAAGAAAAGUAAGGGGUUACCCUUUUUUCAUUAGAAAAAUAAUGGUUUUUUAAAGCAUUAAAAUAUUCUCUGCACUAACUCAAAAUACUUUAUGGAUUCCUCAAAAUUGUUUCCUUAUUUGCUGACUCUAGGCAACAGAAUUCAUAUCUUUUAAACGCCCUCUUCCAAACACAGCCUAACGAAAGACCGCUAAUCCGAGCCUCUUGGGCCGAAGCAGACCAUGGCAUGGGCCUCCGGCCCAGCCCACAUCUCAAAAAGUAAGGCAGUUAGAAGGAGUAAAUAUUAAAUAAUAGUGUUUGACGUUUGCAGUCUGGAGGUGUAUGGUUGGAUCCCUGAAACCGAACCCUCAGAAAGACGCAAUUUGUAGGAAAGUUUGAGGGAAUUUCGGUCGAGGUGUAAAGGUCGGAGAGAAUCUCCGGUCCGAGAAAUGAUAACCCGUUCUAAACUGGUGGAACAACUCAGAGACUAUCAGAUCCGAUCGCAGCACAAGUGCUCCGCUCUCGCUAUCUUCUCUCCCAAACCCCAUAUCACUUCCCGGUAACUCUCCUUCUCCCCUACUCUCAAUUUUCUGAUAUUAUUUGAGAUUGAACUGCAUUUUUUUUCCUUUCAGUCUUUUUUGGCGUGAGGUUUAUUGAAUUUGAAAUUCUCUAGUUUUAUUGAUGAGAAACUGGUAGUGUAGCUGCUCCCUGCGCGGUUAGCUUGCAGUUUUUACAUGGUACAUGCUGAAACAAACCCUCGCGACAAUGAGUAGCAAUUUUAUUUAAAGAAUGUAAGCCUGUUUGGGAACUUAGAAACAUUGUUUGGGAAUAGUUGUUAAAAACAGUUCUAGAUUAUCUAGGGAAAAAAAAUUCUGUUUAGGAACUGGAAUAAGAUAAAUAGUUUUGUUGGCUUAUUCUUUAUAAAGUUACCAUAUACUUACAUGCUAAUUCAAGAAUUCUCAAAGUAUUUUCCAUCUUUUCAAUUACUGCUUACUCUAAAAAAAAUUGAAACCACCUCAAAAUUGUUCUAAACCAACCUGUUUUCAGAACAAGUUUGAAAAAAAAAAUUAUUUUAUGUCAAAAGUUUGUCAAACAUGUUUUUUAAUUUUGUUCUAAAUAAUAGAACUGUUUUUAAGAAGGGUUACCAAACAAUUCAUGUUUUCUUGACUUAUUUAUCUGUUGCAGCAGAGGAUUCAUUUGAAAUCCAGAAAAGCAAAGAGUUUUAUUUGCAAAACUGCUCCUCGUGGUUCAAACAAGAUGUUUGAACCAUCAAACUCGAAAGUUUCUGUUGAAGACUGGCAAAUUCUUCCCUUUUUUUUCUUAUGUUCCUUCAUUUGGGUUGUAACCUUUUCUUGUGAGCACUAAUAGGUAUUAGCACAAUUUUAUACAAAAGCUCAACCUCAACCUCCAAAACACUGGUUUCCUACACAAUUUGUGUUGUGAAAUCUAGGGUUGGCACCAAAUUAAACCAUGGAUUAUGAUAAACAAUUUUAAAGAUUCAUCUUAGGGUCAAUCUUUUGGUAGGGUUCACUGACUGCAAUCCUACAACAUCAAUAUUUGAAGAAAUAAUUAAAAUUAUUAGGGGUCUCAUACUUCUUUUAGACUUUGUGUUCACAAAGGUUAAUAUAAAGGUUUUAUGUGGUAAAUAACCAUGAAAACCUGCUUUUCUGGUUUGGAACUGUGGAAGAUUUAAUAUAACAUAGGCAGAAGUUUAACAUCUUGGAUUGAGGGGAGGAUCAAAAUGAAAUGAACCAUAGAAUUAAAUUGGGAUGGAUGAAGUGGUAGAGUGCUUCUGGAAUUGAGUAUGGUGUGAUUUCUCAAGUGCUUCUUUUCAGCCACAAACUCUUCUAUGGGAGGGGGAAUUUUGAUUGGGGUGGUACAGACCUUUGGAAGGGGCUUAGUGAAGGAGAUCUUGCAAGUAUGAUAAGUUAAUAUUUGAGCUGUAAACAUAUGUAUAGGGAAACAAAUCAAGUUGCUGACCAUAUGGCUAGCUAUAAUACCAUCAAGGGAAAAGGGAAAUAUACAUAAGAACAGUUUUCCAAGGAAAGUCAUACAGAUGUUUGUAAAUCAUAUAUGAGGUUGUAUAUACUUCAGAUAGGUCCUAUUUUCGAGAGAUCUGUAAGAAUUUGAAAAAAUAACAGUAAAGGCCAGCCAUGAUUUAUGAAAGGGAAUGUUGGGCAAUCACAAGAUAACAUUUCCCCAAAUGUAGAUUUUGAGGUGGUUGAUGCAUGAGAUAGUUUAUGGAGGAAAGUUGCUAUGGACAAGUUUGUCAAGAGGAAGGGUUUGGUGUUCUAAGGUGAGGGUAGAGGCAUAUGAGGUGGGUUUUGGAAACCUUUGGGAUUUAGUUCAAGUGAGGAACUAGUCUUUUCAUGAGCAAUGGAUUGAGGGCUAAGUUUUGGUUGGAUGUUUAUGCAAAGGAACAACUUUAAAUGAAUAUUUUCCCUUGCUUGCUUGUUAUUGUUGCUAAAAAAAAUGCUUAGGUGGCUAUUUUUGGAAAUAGGAGGGAGGUUGGUCCCAUUGGCACCCAAAAUUUCUCAAGGCAUUCUCAUAAUUGGGAAUUGAAGUGAUGGCGUCAUUUUUACACCUUAUCCAUUAUGUUGCAAUUUGUGGUGGAGGUUGCCUAAGAAAGUUGUUUUUUGGUGAAGUCUUUUUGCAAAUCUUUGGUGUCAAAUUUAUUUGUCCUUUUUUUCGGCUAAAGAGAUAUGGGGUUCAAGUGCUCCAUCCAAAGUGUGCUUCGUUGCUUGGGAAGCGACAUGAGGGAAGAUUGUCAUUGUUGACCAACUCAUGAGGAGGGGUAGAUUCUUGUUAAUUAGUUAUGCCUAUGCAAGCCAAGUGAGGAAUAAGGAAGUCACAUCUUCAUCCACCCUGAAUGGAUUAAAGGCUCAUGGUCAUUCUUGUUCUUCUUGUUCGAGAAUGUUUGGUGUUGUUGCAUAGUAAAAAGAAAGGAAAAGGGUGUUAAGAUUUAUUUUGAUUUUUAUUGAUAGUGUGGGUAGGGGUUGGGGCUGUUUUGAGGCUGCUUGAAGCAUUUUUAUUUUUUUAUUUUUUGAAAGUACAUUCUUCAAAUCUUGUGCCGUGGUGUUAUGCCCCAUUCUUUUUUUGUGACUUAUUACUUAUAAUUUGCUUAUAAAAGAAAAGGAAAGAGUAAUGUUGUUAAAUUGCUUGCAAAGAAAGGUGAAAAACAACACAAUUUCCUUCAACCAGAACAAGGAAAAGAAAAAAAUAAGGCACUUGCCUUAGUGUAGCAAGACGAUAAAAGUAUUCAUACAUUUACCUAUUCCCGUACUUGAACAAUGUAGACAUUAUUUUCAACAAUCAACUAUUAAUUUUUCAUCCCUCAUGGUGUCUUAUAAAAUUAACAAAAUAGUAAUAAUUAUUCAAAAUAUUAAAUAUCAUCCCCACAUCAUAAGAAGCAUCAUAUUAUUUAAAGAAAUUUAUCUUGGCCAAAUUAUAAUUUUCCAAAUGUCCGAAAAUCAAGAGAAAAAAAAAUUAAAAAAAAUGGAAGUCCUAGAGAAGCUAUUAUCAUAGUCAUCAAUGAAAUUCAAAUUAUCACAAUUUCCAUCAAUAUGAGAUAACCCCCCAUCUUAUUAUCAUUAUCCAUUUCCAUCAAUACUAGAUUGAUAACCCUCCACCUUAUUAUCAUUAUCUUUAGUGUCCUCAAAAUUAGUCUCCUCCUUUUCAAAAUCUAGUUGUGACGUUUGAGCCAUGGUACCUCCUUUUUCCAACACUUGUUGCACUUGCUAUUGCACCCCAUGUCAAUCCAUCAAUAUAUAUAUAUAUAUAUAAAGAAAGAGAGAGAGAGAGAGAGAGAGAGAGAGAGAGAGAGAAAGAUUUUCUACAUCCAUGGAGGUGUCUUCAUCUGUUUAUUCCACUAACCAACCAACCAUUACUAUUAUCAAUAUUUACCAACGAAAUGCGAUCAAUGACAUUGCAUUUAGAACUUGGUUUUAUUUGGCAAACACCGAUACAUUUAGUUGUUUAUACUCUAGUUUGUUCCUUUUCUUGUUAUGAAUUUGUAUGCAUUCAUUAAUAAAUAUUAGUGCAUGUCAUAUGGCAACUUAACUGAUAUAAUUGAUAUAUUAUAAUUAAUAGAGUAUAGACUUACAUGCUCACACUCAUUCUAAUUAUGUUGAAACCCCGAUGAUUGCAAGGCAAGCUAAGAAUCUUUAUGGCUAAUUAUUGCAAAUUAGGGUUGUGUUUCCAUAUAGCUUCAACCAUUCAGCUAUCAUGUUUUAAAUGUAAAUAAAAAAUCAGUAGAUUAGCAAGUAACAUCUAAUCUUAUAAAAAACAAAAUAAGUUAUCUAAUAUCUAAUGUACAAAUGUAACUUUCUUAUAAGCAUUUUAUAUUUGGACCUAGUUUCUUCCUUGAUUUAAUGGCUAUUGGAAUACCAAAGGGGCUGUCUACAUUCUUAAGCUUACAAUUAUCAGAUUAUCUUAUCUUGCACAUUAGUGUUGAGAACUAAUCUAUCUAUGCAAAAAUAUAAUCAUGAUGUGAUGCAGGACAGAAAAUAAAAUGCAAAGAGAAUAGUGGUGUAAUUGAAAGAACACUAGGAAUUACUCUUGGAAACUUUUAGGCUUCACAUUCAAGUACUCUUUGUAUCACACAAAGAAAAUAGUGGCUGCUGGAAAUUUUAUCAUUCAUUCAUUGAUUUUUUUCAAAAGACUGAUCAACUACUAUAUAGAAGUUUUCUAGGGAUUUAUAACUCCUUGGAACUAGUCACAUAGUAGUAAUACAAAUUGAAAAUAACAAAAACUUGGGCUGACUACUACACCACAGUAAAGACUCUUGGAAAAUGAUAAUAUUAAUGACUGAAAAUGGUAACUUAUGACCAUUGACUAGGCCCCCAUAAUUUGAUUUAUGGAAAGUACUUUCUAGGCUGAACCCAUAUUGAAUUAUAUAAGAUCUCAACUAAGCCCAUUAUCAUCUAGAGAGUGCCAAAUUAAAACUUGGGCCUUGGAGCCCGCUCUUUUGUGCCUUUGAUAAACUUCUACAGGUGGCUGCCACUUGUCUCCAUCAUGAUGUCACUUCUUCAUCAAACUUCAAACAAGGAUUGCCAUUAAAAUUUUUUUAAAAAAAUAAAAAUUGAGUUAGGAAGUGAGCAUGAAAAGGAUAGUGGAGUUAAACAUUUCCAUCUUUUGUCAAUGAUACAAAAAAUUCUUUAUACUUAUCUUUAUUCUCAUGAAAGGGCUUUUUGAUGUUCUUUUUGCAUUUUUCUAUGGCUUAAUGUGUGUACCCUAUAGCUUGUUUUAUUUCAUUAUCAAUAAGUCAAGGAACUUGAAGAAGGGGUCCAUCACCUUACAAAUAUGCAUAAUGUGCUUCCAACAUAAAGGCAUAAAAACCAUUUUUGAUAGGCAUUUUCCUAUUGUUUCUAUUGAGCUUGUAAGGGAAAUUGUAAGAAUAUUUUGAUUUACUUCUCUUUUUUUGUACUAUUAUAGGCUUAUAACAAUACUUGUAAUCUUCUCAUUCAAAAUAUAUAGAACAUAUGAAAUAAAUUCUCUUCUUUUAAACAUGGUAUUAGAGCAUGAUCAUUCUAAAGCCACCAUCCCUCCUUGAUACCUAGCCAUCCACUCUUGUCUCAAAUCCUUCUUAUCUUGUUGUUUGUAAAGAUACACCACUUUUACUAAACAUCCUAUUUCUAACUUUGUCUCUUAUGAUCACUUGUCCAUCUCUUUUAGAGCCUUCUCUGCCUUUUUCUCGUCUAUUACUCUUUCUAAGUCUUAAAGUGAGUCUCUUUCUCAUCUACUGGAAGACGGUAAUGGGAGAGGAAAUGUACUCUUUAUAGUGGAAUCACAUAUGAGAACAUGUACACAAGUUAGUUGAUAUUCUAAUUGUUGGGUGUUGUUGGGUCUUUACCAUAAAAGUUUCUAUAGCAUAUUUUCAUAUAAAAUCUCUUCUCAAACCCUUCAAAUCAUAUUGAUUCAUAUUGGACAAAAAUAAUAAUAAUAAUAACAAUUGAAUUCUAAAUUUUUUGCUACUUGAAAAAUCGUAAAUAAUUAGAUUGCAUAAAAUUUUCUCUACAUAAUUAAAUAAGUAAAUAAAUAAAAAAUAAAUAAACAAAUAUAUAAAAUUUUACAUUAAAAAAAGGUGAGUGUGGCGUAGAAGAGCAUUACUAGAAUUUUAAAUUUAAAUGUGAAAAAAAUAAAAAAAUAAAAAGUGAUUCCAUGGGAGGCUAGAAAAGUGGCCUAUUUCAAAUUGAUAUAUGGAAGAAAAAAAAAGGAAGGCAAAGAAGAGGAAUGAAGAGUUGAGAAGAGUGGACUGUUUCAAACUGAAAUAGAUAAAUAAAAAUAAAAUAAAACCUAGUGCAAAAGGCAAAAAGAGGAGUGGAGAGUUGAGUUGGUGGGGUGGUCUCUCAAAUUAAAAAAAAAAAAAAUAAGAUGAAGUGCAUAGAGAAAUUGAGCAAGAUUUUUGUGGCAUGGGAAAGAGAGAAAGGGAGAAUAAGAGAAGUGGAAGAGAUGGAGAUGGAGAGAGGAUAAAACAGAAGAGGAAUUGUCAGUGUGAGGGUGGGACACCAAUGAUGCCUUAGAUGAGAGGUAGUAGAUAUUGAGAGAGCACCACUCUGAGAAACACUAAGUUAGGUUGUUCCUCCCUCAAAUCCAAUUCUAUUAUAUUUUUAUUUAUUUAUUUUCUUUUUGGUCACUUGCAUCUUUUUCACCUAUGGCUAGUAAAAAAAUUGUAAUAAUAAUUAUAUGUAUUGCUGCAAAUCUAGACUGGUUCCUCAUCAACUUGAUGUCAAGAACGUCUUCCACUCUUCCUUCAUAGCAACUUCAAUGACAUAGUGUUCACUGUUCAACCAUGUAGGUUUGAAUCAAAGCUAAUUAAUCAAUAUGUUUCAGAAGGACUGAUCAUCAUGGUAGUUUAGUCUUGAUAGUAUAUGUAGAGGGUAUUGAGACUUUGAUUCAUGACCACAUACCAGCUUUCACACUAAAGAUGUUGGUAAGCUUUGUUAGUUUCUAGGUAUUGAAGUUGCAUGAUCAAAUAAAGGUAUUUGUCUCUCAAAGGAAAUACAUUUUUUAUAAAAUAUCUUUAUAACAAUAACAGGUACAAAUAUUAAAUCGGUUGGGACUGAGACUGGCAGUGAAAAGAAAAAGGAGUGAUGGCAGAGGAUAGUUCACCCAAAAGGGAGAUGAGAUGAACUAUCGAUUCUCCGAUAAAUGUCAAUGACUUAAUAUGUUUCCAGGGUCUUUACUUGAUCCAGGAUGUGUGAUGUAUAUGCCAUUCUGAAGUGAUCUAUUAAUCUGCUAAUAAUUUGUUUCAUGGCAAUUCCAUCUUGGCACUAAACUUGUUGUUAUGCCUAUGAUAACAAAUUAAAAAUUGAUAAAUGAUGGUGAGUUAGCAGAUGAUCUUGGAUCGUAUAGGACAUCGGUCGAAAAGCUGGUUUACUUGACCAUCACUCAGCCAGUCUCACAACCAAUUUUGGGUUUCUCACUUGAAUGCAAUGAUAUGAAUUUUGAAACAUCUCAAGGGAACUCUUGUUCAUGGUCUUCUUUAUCAAUCCUUAGAACAUUUCUUAUUGAAGGAUAUUCUAAUUCUGAUUGGGCAGGAUAUAUAUAUAUAUGAGGUAAUCUCAUAACCCAGAGAAGCAAGAAACAAUCCAUUGGUGCUUGUUCUAGUGCAUAGGUAGGGUAUCGGGCAAUGAAAAAUACAGUACGUGAUUUGACUUGGUUGAAAAGCUUUUUGCAAGAAAAUGGCAUACCAGUACCUGAUACAUCUUUCUACUAUGACAAUCAAGCAAUCAUUUAUAUUGCUAGCAAUUCUAUUUUUCAUGAAAAAGCAAAGCACAUGGAAGUAGAUUUUCACUUUGUUUGCUCAAAAGUGGACCCAAAGGAAAUUAUUACUCCAUUUGCAUCAUCGAAGAACCAACCUACUAACAUAUUUGCCAAUGCUCUUCUAAAAUAAGUUAUUGACUCUAUUUGUAACAUGGUAGGAGAUUUAAGGGGGAGUGUCUUACUACAUGUCUCGUGCUGCAUGCAUUGCAGCCAUUUUCAUUUAAAAGAAAAUGUAUUUAGGGGGAACAUAUUGACAUUCAUUAUUGCUAUUUGUAAUGGAUUUAUAUGCCCUUUCUUUCUUUUCAUGCUAAUUUGUGAUGGAUUUGGAGGUUUACAAAACUCUCUUGAAUGUUUAUUUUUAGCUGCAUGGAUGUUUCUCUAAUGAGAAGAUGCUCUUAGGUUUACAUGCCUUCUGCUUUGUCCUCUUCUAUUGGAUUCACUUUUUCAUUGAGUCUUCCUCUUACCAUUUUAUGGAAUUUGUAAUGUCUCAUUCAAACAGUUAAUAUCAUCUGUAUCAUCACUGGUCUAUAACCAUCCUCUCAUUAGUGCCCGAAGAACAUUGAAGAGAUCUAAGUUACAUGAGAGCAUUUGAAGAGCGUUUUAUGCUAUUUAUGGCACUGAAUUUUUUGAAUUCUAUUAACUUCAUGCAGGGCUGAUGUUGCUGUGGCUAUCUUGUGGGCCUUAUUCUUUAGUGUGCUUCUUGUAUCAUCCUGUAUGACCUUUUACUUCAGAUAUUUCCAUCUUUCUUCCAUCACCGUCUGCCUUGUUAUUCUUCUUCUUAUUCGACUAAGAGCUUCUAAGAAGGCAUUUGCAAGGAAGAAAGAAAGAAGAUUGUUGUUACCUUUGUCCAUGUGAACAUCUAUAGCCAGUGGUGUAAAGGUAGCACAAUAGCUUGGUCAAUUUGUUCUGUUGCUCACUUCUAAGUUCUGAUACAUGUGGAUUUUAUUUAAACUUUAUAUGCUUGGAGUACUGAUCUUGAUCAACAAGAAUUCUCACCAUCCUCCUGAAAUAGAUGGUAUGGUCCCUAUUCCUCCCUCAUAGCCAUACACGAUAGCCAUGAGAAUUUUCUGGACAAUCUCUUUUAUGUGUAAAUAGGUCACAGUUGAAUGAGGUUAGAGGUUUGCUAAUUCAUAAAUUUCCCAUUGGCUUGUACAUUUUAUUCAGUCCAAGGAAUUGUAUAUUGAAGUAUGCUUUAGAUUAAGUUAGUAGAUGCUUGUCAUUUCAGUAUUGAGACAGAACAGGCAGUACUGGCCAGCAAAUUAAAGACAAAAAUCUAAAGACUUCAUAACAAAGAAAAAAACAAAAUUAAAACAAGUUAAACCUGUAGAAUCAUACUGCUAAAUAGGCAGAAUUUGACUGGUAAGGUAGGUUUCUGAUGCCUUUUUUGGUUUUUUUCCAUUUUUUGGGGUUCACUUUUUUCUGUUCUGGGACAUUGAUUGUAGUGUCUCACCCAUACAAACUCAGCAUGUUUUCUAGGGAAGUUAUUAUCUUAAGCUCAUUGUGAAAUAAUACACUUAAGGUAUCUUAAUUAGAAGAGAAUUACUCAUGGACCUUAACGGUCUAGUUAGUUUGACAAGUAAUCUCUUACUUCAAUAUCAAUGAGUAUCCACUACUCAUUGUACAUGUUCCAUAUAAGCAUGUAAACAGCAAAUGAGAAAUCUUUAAAAGAUAACACCAUAGCCAUUUUAGUAUAUAAACUGUUCAAUAGUUUAAGUGUAUGUGCUGGCUUUAAAUCUGCCUAUUUGUCGGGAAACAAUUUAAUUGUAGGGAGAAUCUCACUUACAGACUAGAUGGAUGCAUGCAUGAGGCUUGCUCAAGCAGCUACCCAGUUGCAAGGAUUUUGGAGUGAAAUUAUAACUCAUGAGACAGUUUAGAAAGACUCUUCAAUUGUGUAAGGAUUCUAAGGAUAAUAUGGAAGAGAGAGAGAGAGAGAACGGGUAUUCAAACUGCAAUAAAAAGUAGGAGGAUUGCAUCCCUUCUAUAGUAUAUAGAUAUCAUAAUUCUAGAUGUUCUUUAUUCACUCCUGAAAAGUAGGAGUAAAAUAUAAAACUAUAGACACUCUGGAUUGGCUUCAUUUGAUUUUAAUAGGCUCAAAAAUCUGAAAUUGUUAACCUUUUGUGCUACAUUUGGAAUUUUCUUGCUCACUGAUCUCUUCUAAGCCAGAGUUGUGAUACAAACCUGUUUUGUUGUUUAAUAAAUGGGAUAGGCUACGGCAAAUAUGAUGAUGACACCUUUUUGCAUGCAGUAUUUCUUGAAAUCAAUAUUUAUCUUGUGAUUAUUGAUUGAGUUUAAGGCUAAGAAAUUAUUUGUUUCAAAUUAUUUUGCCUUUCUUUUAUUUUUUAAAAACAAAGGACACAUUCUUUUUCCUUGUUUGUUUAAAAGACAAAGAACUAGAUAGAAUUUAUAGAUAUUGUCAAGUUCAACAAGUGCAGUGUCAUUGCAUUCAUUGCCUGUUUAAGCUGUUUGCAUUCUAUAAGCACCUUUUCUGUAGUGGUCCCCCCCUGGGACCAUUUGGCUGUGUUCCCCUCAGAGAUAGCUCAAGGUACUAUCAUCAGCAGGAGACGAUAAAAAUAACAAAAUAAAAUAAAAACUGAGGGUAAUGGGUGGCAUACAGGAGACAUGAUUGCUUUUAUUUAAUGAGUACCGGGCCCUUCAAAACAUGCCUUCAAAGGAAUGCGGGGGGGCUUCCCAUCUUUUUGUUGGACCAUAGAUGAGUAUAGUGCAUAAACGAUACCCAUAAAUGAUUGCUGUAUUACACUGUUUUUAUAGUGCAAAGCAUAUGUUGGUUAGUUAGAUACGAGAUUGAGUAGAUAGUAUGGAUGAUUCCAUGUUGCUUUUCCUAGCCAUGUCUUUUACAAAAGGAUAUGGUUUCCAACUCUUCUCUCCUUUUCAAAUCUUCAAAGUGAUUGCAUAGAUUUCAAAUUAAAUUGGAGGCAACUAAGGUUGUGUAAAAAAUGCAGUUACUAUCAGUGACUAGAUCAGUUUAAAUAUGUGGUAUGCCAUUUGGCUCAUCAGCUGUUUAUGAUCCAUUCAGCCUCUACGUACUGGCGUGGUGCAUUAUAAUGUUAUUUUAAAGGUGGUGGCAUUAGGAAACACCUUUUUGAAAUGUGCCAGUGGCGUGAAGCUCAGUUUGACAUUAAGCAGUCAAGACAUGGGUCAAAAUUUUCUUCUAGAUAUGUUAUUAUGUGCAGUGGAAUGCUUUGGGAAUAUGUGAAAUGCCUUAAUAUUUUACUUUUAGCUUCCAGUGCUAAUUCAAAAGAAUUUCAAUAUCAGAUUUGUUUAUUGGUAUAAAUGUGGACGUAACCAUUAGAAUAAUUUCAUUAAGAAGAGUGAGCUUGGAAGCAACUUCAAAAAAUAGUGGGUUACGAUUGAACUUUUCAUAUUGAAUUUUCAUAGCUUCUGUGCAGGUACCAACUUCCUCUUCCCUGGUUAGUGUAAAGAUGUUAUCUGAAAUGAAAAGGCAGUAUUCAAAUGAAGUUACAGUUGUGUCCUGACUGAGCUUUGAAAAACAUACCAGAGAAGUUGUAUCAAGUUAAUCUGUUGCCCUUUGAGAAGUCAUUCUUCCCGUAAGGUUUGUUUCCAAACACACCAAAAGAACUGUUUCUUUCAAUGAAGCUAUGAAUUCAAUUUUGGUAGGAAAUGUACUCCAUCAAGCCUUUUCUAUUAUGAUACUUGCCUGCUAGGGGUCUGUAGCCAAUUAGCUUUAUAUUGAUCAAGAUUAUACACCUUUUAUCCAAAAGGAAAAGGAAAAGGAAAAGUGAUUCUUGUAGGUUCCAAAGGGAACAUCUUAUGUAAUGCCUGGUGCUCUAUACACGGAAGCCACCUUCUUUCCUUUUCUCUCUCAUCGAGUUUUUGAUGUGAUAGAAGAUUUAUCCGAAGAUGAUGCUUUAAUAGCAAUUCAGCUCUUUAAUCCAGUCCAUCGACUCUAAAACACUUGGGUUUAGUUGUCACAUGAUUAAUAGGCACCUUUUUGUUGAUAAGACAAGGCAAAUGCUCAGUUACAAUUGUUCAAAAGGCCGAAAUUCUCGGCCAAUGAAUACUCUACCACUAAGUUUAAAUUAAGUUUAUUUCUUUUCUCUCUUUUGGGUUACAUUAGCCUAAUGCCAUCAUGGGGAGCCUUAGUGUUGAACUAAUACCGAUUAAAAGUAUUAUUAGGAACUGACCCUGAUGUUGGCUUCUCGCACUCUUUUAACUCUUUGAUGGGGGACCGCAGGCUCAAUGCCUCAUAGCCGAAAGUAAAAGUCAGUGAACCUAAUAAGUUUUUCCCAUCCCAAGCUAAAAGGCUAGGUUCAUCUCAUUUUCAUGCUGAAAACCUUCUGUUCCUGAGAAGUACUAAAGGCACAAAGUUACAAGUAUGAGUGGGGGGCACAAGUUCCAUUUAUAUAAGUCCUAGGGGGGCUGGCCAUUCUCGUGCCUUUACUUUUUGACCAGCUGCUUCACUUAACUUUUGUAGGCCUAUGUUGCCUGGAUGAUUAGUUGGGAAAGGGAUCCAUUCGGUAUCUCAGAUGCUUCUUCCCCCAAUAGCUUCUUAAGACUGAUGGUUGAUCCAUUUCACUGUCCUAUUAGUUUGACCUUGACCUGAGCCCGAUCGAUCUGAUUAUUGGAAUCCAUAACCAGCCAUGCCACUUAUCAAAAAGAAAAGGAAGAAGAAAAUGAAAUUUCCCUUGGCUUGGCUGUUAUGGCAUGACAAGACACCAAAAUAUGUAAUUUUGCGUAAAUAUGAUCAUCCAAAAGAGGGCCACCAAAUAAUCCAGGCAGUGUGGUCAAAGUUUGGAUGGUAUGAUUUGGCCUGGAAAUGUCUUGGUAUUGAUUGAGGCCACGUUUUUCCAAACAGCGCGUGAGCAAUCAUUGAGGGUCUACUACUUAUGCCCUGCUAAAAUGAUGAUGCUCCGAGCGCCCCCACAUUCUUCUCUCCGACGUUGACACAAUCAUCUCUCCUUCCUACUAUACUACUAUUACUACUCUUUUAACACUUGCUUUACCAUCUCUCCCGCCUUUCCUCAUCCUCCCACUUGCUUCUCCUCCCUUUUGCACCUAACCUCAGCUCACCCUCUCUCCUUUAAUCUUUCAGCACUGGACCCUGGACAGUGGCAUGGGAAGUUGUCGGCUUACACAAUGAACUCUUUGAUAGAUAUAUGGUAGACCUGUAAUUUGGAAGCUUGUCUCUAUGGUCAACAUUAUUAGUACUGCCUAACUUUUAAAUCUGUCAACAACUCUCUCUCUCUUUUCACACCCAGCUCAAUCCACUUAGGAAAUAAUCAAGGGGUAUUGUCCCGUUCCUAUCAAGAGUGGGAUAACUUCAAGUUUAAACAUUUUCCUCCCACGUAUUUAAAACCAAAACAUUGCAUCAGCAUCGUUGACCGGCUAAAUACCUUGGUCGCAAUUAUAGAGAAAGCAGAUGCUGUUGAUUUAGGAGGGGAAAAAAAAGGGAGAGACAGGGGGAGAAAGCAGUUGAUGAUAUCAUAGAAAAUUUAAUAACAAGAUCAUUCUGUUGGCAUUCAAAUCAUCUGCAAAUUCUUUGGAACUUCACCUUUUGUCGAGCUUGUGAUUGGAACGUUUCUAUUAUUAGAAUUUAGAGGUCAAACUACCGGUUUGUCCUUUUUAAUUUUUGUUGCUCUGUCAAGGACUGAAGGUGUCGCACAUGGUUUAUUAAAAAAGAAGUACACGCUAAAUAAUAUUUUUUUGUUCAAAUUGUUUUCUUUGGCUGACAUAAAUACGUUAUCAUUUCUGUUAGAUAAAGUUAAAAAUAUUUGGCGUUAUAUUUUAUCAAACAGAUUAAUCGAAAGAAAUUAUUGAACGGACAACUCAUCUUAGUUGCUGUCAAACCGUGCCAAGUAUUAUUAUUAUAUUUACCCGUUCGCGGUCUUCGCGGUCAAUGCUCUGCAUAUUUGUCCUGUCCUACAGCAGGCAUGAAAGUGUUCCACCAAACCGUGUACUUACAUUGAUCAUUAUUAUGGCGUGCAAAAUGUUGUUUCUAUGCCAUAAUGUCUUCUUUUAAAAAAAUAAAAAAAUAAAUCCUUUUGAAGAAAGAUCACCUUUUUUCUGGUCUUUUAUUUUUUGGUUGAAACGAAACAAUCGAACCUACUCUUUGACACUGGGAUGGUAAUGGAUGAGUUUUUUUUUAAGCACUCGCCCCGCCUAAUUCCUAAUGAAACAGGUUUAAUUUUAAUAAAUGGAUUUUAGAUAAAUUUAAUAAAUUCUUUUAAAACCUGACGUGGGUUUGGAUAGUGAUCAUCCCGUCCUCUCCUUCACCGAUUAUAUAUAAAAUUAAUUUAAUUUAAUUUUUAUUUUAUUAUUUUUAAUAUAUAAAUAAUAAUAAAAUAUUUUUAAUAAAAUAAAUUUAAAAAUAAUAAUAUUUUAAUUAUUUUUAAAAUAUAUUUAUUUUAAUAUAAUUAAAAUUUUAAAAAUAAUUUUAAAAAAAUUAAAAUUCAAAAAAAAGUUAAAUGGGAACAAGACGAACAUGAAAAUUUAUCAUAUCUAUCUCGUUUCGUUUAAUUUUUUAAAUGGGACGAUAAUAAUUAUUAUUUUGAAUAAAUGGGAUCCUUAUUUGACAUUGGAUCAUAGUGCACAUUGUGCUGGUCUAUCUUGUGCAUUAUAUUUCUCUCUUGAAUUGAUUUUAAUAUUUUGUCAAGUUUUUUUUUUUUAAGUUAUUUGAUUAAAAAUAUGAAAUAAUCUCAAAUUUACAGGUUUAACCUUCCAUAUAUUUCAACUUAAAAAUAAUUACUUUUUAUAAAAUUAUUGAUGUUUUAUUUAAAAAAAAUUAUAUAUAUUUUUUAAAAUUAUAUGAAAAUAAUUUUAACGUUAAAUUUUUUCAAAUUUAAUGUGAAAAAAGUUAUUUUUAUAAAUCUGCAAUUAUUUUAUCUUUUAAUAUCAUAACCCUUUUAUUUUCUGCUUUCUAAUGGUAUGCGGGAUACUUCUUAUACAUUGGAAAAGAAACGUAAUACUAGCAAAAUAGAAGAAAAGUUAGUUAUCCUUCAAUGAGGGCAGCCGUAAGCUGUAUUAGCUGAGUUUUGGGCCAAAAUAGCCCAUUUAUAGAAAUCUCAAUUGACCAUAUUAUCAAAAAGAAAAAAAAAGAAAAAAAUCAAAGUUUAAGUUAAAAUCACCAUUAUUUUUUUAUUGAAAUCUCAAUUUUUUAACUGAUGCUUGAGUUUUUUAAAUGGAGUCUAACCCACAGUUACAGUCGUAGAAUCCAGAGGGUUUGUCUCAUUAAAGAUCUUCGUCUUGACUUUUCUGUCAGUUAUCUUGCAAAUCCAAGUCUAAUCAAAUGGGUUGUAAAGGGGUCCCCCACACCCUACACUAAAGUACGCGGUUGGCGCGCAAUAUAUUUCCCUUUCAUACGUCUUGUCGUCAACCUCUCCUGUAGCCCCUUGGCACGCUGAACCAAGGAAUAUUAGCCCUAUGCCUGCAAUCAUUGGUAGGACACCCGCACGAGUGCCUCUCCCUUCCCUCCUCCUUCCCCUCUCUGCUUUCCUUUCCUUAUCUUUGAAUUUUGGAUCAAAAUGUCCCAUUUAUUAAAAAAAAUAUAUAUAUAGGAUAUAAACACUUUGUAAAACUUAUCUUCAAAUUGAACGCUAUGCACCAUAUCAUAAUUUUUUUUUCAUUUUUUUUUUAUCAUUUUAGUUAAAACCUCAAUUGACAACUGAGGUUUUAUUUUUUAACUGAAACCACAAUUAUCAAUUGAGGUUUCAAUUUUUGAAUUAAAAUUAGAGUUAUCAACUGAGACUUUAUUUUUUAACUAAAAUCCUCAAUUGAUAACUGAGUCUUCAUUUUUAAACUGAAGUCACAGUUAUUAAUUAAAACUUUAUUUUUUAAACUAAAACCGUAAUUAUCAAUUAAGACUUUAUUUUUAAAUUGAAGUCUCAAUUGGUAAUUGCGAUUUCAUUUUUGAACUAAAGUCGUAAUUUAUUGAAUUGAUAAUUGCGACUUUAAUUCAAAAAUAAAGUCGUAGUUACCAAUUAAACUGAAGCAUCAAUUGAUAAUUACGACUUCAGUUCAAAAAAUGAAACAUCAGUUGCCAAUUGCGGUUUCAAUUCAAAAAAUGAAGUAUCGAUUGACAAUUACGAUUUCAGUUCAAAAAAUGAAGUUUCAGUUACCAAUUGAGGUUUCAAUUAAAAAAUAAAGUUUUAGUUAUUAAUCGAGACUUUAACUAAAAUGAUGAAAAAUAAUAUCUUUUUAUGAUAUGACACCUAUGUGACAUCAAAAAGACCAAUUUGAAUAUAAGUUUCCUUAAGUUAUAUUGUUUUUUUAAUAAAUGAACCAUUUUGACUCAAAACUCCUUUUCUUUUCUAGUUUAUACUUUAAUCUAACUCAGCACUGCCUAUUGGGCCACCUGUCCCUGCUUUAACCUCUUCCUUCUUAAUAAUUAAAGCAGUCAAUCUGUCAACUUCUUAACGGUUUAUAUGUUCUUCUCCUUUUUAAUAGGGUGUUUUAUUAUACAUAUAUUUUGAGAGAGGUGUAUUAUUUGACACUAUGCAUCUCCUCCUCUUUCCGAAUUUUGUUGACCCAAACAAAAAAUCAACUUCGGGCCGGUGUUGAAGCUAUAUUGUUCAAUUAGCCUUCUUCCUUUUCUCUCUUUUUUUUUUUUGUUAAAAAAUUAAAACUGCAUUCCUUCUUAUUCCACCCGCACACCCAUCACCAUCGACCCAUCGCCCGCGACAUCGCAAUCGGCCACCCCUUUCUCCCUUCCUUCUUUCCCUUUUUGUCUUCUCUCUCUCCAUACCCAUUUUUCCUUUUCUCCAAAUCUUCCUGUUACUGACCGGCGGCCAACGACGUCAUGCCGUCGGUGCAGCUCAUGGAUCGACCUUGCUGACGAUGCCCACGGUUGCCCCCACCGAGACCCUCACCUCCAUCUUCAUUUUUAUUUUUUAUUAAAUAACUUUAAAAAAAAUAAUUAAAAAUAAUAAAAAUGAAGGAUGAGAGAGAAAGAGGCCAUCAAAAAAGGAAAAACCCACAUUUGUUUGGUUAAAGGGGUGAUUUUUAACACAAACUCCCUCUUUCCUUUCUCCCAACAUACAUGUGGAUUUGGUAAAGUUGUGGGAAAGAUAUGUUGCCAGAUGAGUAUUCACGUGAAACCCAAUAAUGCACACACGUGGGUUUGGAUAAUCCCAUAAUAAAUGUCCAAAAAGGCUUUAUAGAUGAUGCUUGAAGUUUGGGUUAAAAAUAUCCUCUUUAACCAAAAGAAAUGUGGAUUUUGACCCUCUUUGCAUCUUUUGUUCAAAAUGGCCUUUCUCUCUCAUACUUCGUCUUUUAUUAUUAUUAUUUUUAAUUAUUUUUUAAAAGUUAUUUAAAAAAAAAUGAAGAUGGAGGUGUGGGUCUUGGUGGGGGCAACCGUGGGCAUCAUGAUGCAAGGUCGAGCCAUGAGCGGCACCGACGGCAUGACGUCGUUGGCCGGCAAUGAGUAGCAGCCGGAGUCGGAGGAAAGUAAAAAUGGGUAUGGUCGGUAGGAUGGAGAGAGAGAAAGAGGAGUUUUGGGUCACCCAUUUAUUAAAAAAAAAAUAUAUAUAUAGGAUGUAAUCAUUUUUUGAAACUUAUUUUCAACUGUACCAUGUUAUUAAAAAUUUUUUUUUUUAUCAUUUUAAUUAAAGUCUUAUUUGACAAUUGAGCUUCAAUUUUGAACUGAAAUCAUAAUUGUUAACUGAUGUUUCAUUUUUGAAUUAAAGUUGUAGUUAUCAAUUAAGAUUUUAGUUAAUUUUUAAAAUUUAAUUAAAAAUUAUUAAAUUAUAAUUUAUUAUUAAAAUUUAAAAAAUAUACUUAAAUAAUAAAUUAUUUAUAUUUAAAUUUAAGAAUCUAGUAUUACUUUAACAAAUAUAAAUUAAUAAAUAAAAGAUAUUUUAAAUAAAUAUUUUAUUUAUUAAUAAAUUAAUAAUCAUAAAAUAAUAAAUUUAUAUAACAUAUAAAUAAUAUAUAAAAUUGUAUUAUUUAUUAAUUUAAAAUAUAUAAUUUAUUUGUUUUAUGAUAAAUUUAUUUUUAUGGAAAUAAUAAUAAACUUUUAAAUUACAGUUGUUAAUUAAGAUUUCAAUUAUAAUUUUUUUUUACUUUCAAAUUUAAUUAAAAACUAUUAAAUUACAAUUUAUUAUUAAAAUUAAAAAUAUAUAUAUUUUAAUAAUAAAUUAUUAAUACUAUAUUCUUAAAUUUAAAUAUAAAUAAUUUAUUAUUAAAGUAUAUAUUUUUAGUUUCAAUAAUAAUUUUAAUAAUAAAUGUAUUAUUAAAUAUAAAUUAUUAAUGCUAGUUUGGACGAUAGUUUCCGAAAUGGCUAAAGUUGAUUUUUUGUUACGGUCAAAAGGGUACUUUGACCCAAAAUUCUGAUGUUUGCCUCAAACCCCCAAGGUUUUGUAGCUCUCUUACCAUUUAGCCCCUGCUCCCCUUCCAAAAUUUCACCUCUCAGCUUUUGGAUUUCAAGAAUCUUGGACGUCCAUACAUUUCAUACCUGUCUAUAAAAUGAUCUUCUUCUUUUUUGGCAAAAUUUUAAUUCCUGCUAUCACAUAUUAUCAUGACUGAGGGAAUCAGGUACGCUGUCAUAUACAAACUAGUCAAGUCAAAAUUUUUGUACAGAAAACUCCCAAAUUCAAAUCUUUACGUCCAAAAAAAAUCAUCGCCGCUAACGUUUAAUAUUAAAUUUAUCUAUUUUUAAAUAAACUCUGCAACAGUACAGCUUUAAAAGCAAAUUUUAAAAUGGUGGUGCAGCUUUGAAGCCAAUAUGGAUAAAGGGGUGAUUAGACAAGUCGAAACAGAGGAUAUUUCGUGUCCAAAGCAAACUCCUCAGUCCUCAGUCCUCACUCACAAAUCACAACAUCCCACAAUUUGCCAUGUCAUGGCAUGGAGGGAUAGCUUCAUUAUUUUACUAAAUAAAUAUAACUACCCUUUUCGAAAACCCAUUCCCCCCACCACCAUAAUUCAACGAUUGGAAGUUUGGAUCCUAAUAAUGGCACCUCCCGACUCGGACGGCCUGAGACGGACCCAGACUCCCUCCCAUAACGGCUCUGUACUUACAUUUUGUUUACUUUCUCUCAAGCUAUACCUUUCAUGUGCCCAUGGGGGUGCAUGGUUAUCUAUCUAUCCUAUGUUCUCGUGGGUCAUUUUAUAGAUUUUUUUCAUUUUUUCUAACACGUUUGAUAAAAGAAAUUUCUGAACCUUUACAAAAAUGUUUUUGUAAUAGUUCUUAACAUAACUCAUGAACAAGAUUCAAAGUUGAAUUGAAGUAUUUUGUUUCAUAAUUAUGCCAACUUAUUCAAAGUAUUUAUUAAACAUGUUACUUCAUUAGUAGACCUUUGGCUCAUUUGAAUUCAUUUAUGCGGGUUUUAAUUAAUGUAUUUAUCUUAUUUUGUUUAUACGAUUAUAAUUUAAGAAAAAAAAUAAAAAAUAAAUUUAAAUUUAAUAAAUUACUUUUAUAUGUUUUUUUAACUCAUUUUAUUUAUAUCUUUUUAUAAUAAUAAAAUUAAAUAAUUUAAAAAUAUACCAAUCUCAAAUUAAUUUUAAUCAUAUAUAUAUUUUUAAUGUGAAAUUAAAUAUAAAAAAACUAUUUUUAUUUUUGUGGAAAUCAAAUAUCGCCUUAAAUUUUUAUGAAUUAUUUGCGUUACAACGAUAUGAAUCCAAUUGCCACUACUUAGUAAACCUAUUGACCAUACAAAAUGAUAUUUUGAAAAUAUAUUUGAAUUCAUAGGUACGUGACAGGUUGGAAAAAGAAAAAAAGGACAAGAGGAAGGAUGCAAUCAGGCCGAUUUUGUAAUGGAUGUAUUUUUCUUCAUGUUCUCACGCCAUUUUUGCGUAUAUGGAUGUUUUUUCAAACGAGAUAAGACUGCUCAUAGUAACAGCUCAAGCUAGCAUGUGUCGAUACUGCAGAUGAUUUGCAAUCAUCAAAGACAAAUAAUCGGUCAAAUGGAUGAUUACAAAUCGAUUUGAAUGCACGUCCAUCUUGACAAGUGACAAUACAUUUUUAACGAAUUGUGUCACGUAAUCUUUUAAGUUUUCAACCAAGAAGCGAUGUCUCUUUGUCACCACCUGCCAUUAAUCAAAGAUUUUGAGCAUAAAAUCUACCCUCAGACCAUAAUUUUCUUCCUUGACUGACUACUAUUCAUGUAUGAUGAUUGAGUGCGUGAACACUGAUGCCAUUAUCAAUCAAUACUUCAAUAGUGUGUUGCAUUAUGGCCGUUGCUGCCUGAUUUUUAAUGAAUAUAUAUAUAUAUAUAUAUAUAUUUUUUUUUUUUUUUGGGAUAAUUGGGAAGAAAACAAGUGUGGUUGUUGACCAAUGCCCGAGACAACGAAGAUGCAAUGCACUUCUGAAACAUUAUUGGCAGUUUGUGAUGUCUCUGGACUCUCUACCUGGCGAAUUUUUCUGGUUUUUAUUUAAAUAUGUGAAGCAAUGGGCAGAGAUCUUUUAGGGCUGGGAUCUAAUUUCCUUACUGAAAAUGAGGAAUGGUAAACAAAUGGUGGUUUAAGAAGAGUGAUGGUGGAAAUGGAAAGUGGGGGUGGGGGGUUUCCUUGUAGGGAAAAAGCAUUGUGAAUCAUCCAUUCUAAAUAAGCCUUCAUGGAUGGUCCAUUUUUCGUUCAUUUCUUUUUGGCCCAUAGUUAAUUGUUCAUUGCAUAACACUUGUGGCCACCGACAUCACAAUAAUGCUGGGGUUGAUUAUAAGUGGGUCGGCCAUUGAAUUUAGGGCAUUUACAUUGCUGAAUUACGCAUGCAUUAGUUUGAGAAGGUACCCAGAAACGAGGGACUCCGUAUGGGCUCUGUAUGAUGUGUUUUGGGAGCAGAGGAGGAGGCAAAGGAUAUGGCUCUACACGGAGGAUGAUUUGUGCCUUCGAACCACUUCCCUGUUUUGCGGAGAUCUUGGGCGUUUAAUUUUGACAAUCCAUUUGGUACAUGAAAAUCCAAUUAUGGUUUGUCGACAUCGUGUGGGGAAGAAAAACAUAAAAAUAAAAACAGAGAAGAAGCAUGCAAUCGACUCUGAUUUUGUAAUCUGCUACUUAAAAUAUCAGAGUUGACCAUUUACUCUUUUCUUUUUCUAGAAAAAAUGCAUGGAAUUUGGUAUUGGAGCCUGUAGGGGGAGAGCCCCUCUCCAUUCUGAUUUUCGGGGGCAAAAGCAAUGCCUUUGACCUUUGGUCUAAACAAUUGGGUUAUUUGGAAUAGGUAUUUUCUCUGCAAAUAAGACCAAGCUUUCAAAAUUAAAAAUACAUAUGUUUUUUUUGUGGGUAAUGAAUCGUAUUACAUUUCCCACAAAACGACAGAAAAAAAACACUAUAAAAGAAGGAUAUUGACUUGAUAGCUUUCAUUAAGUUUUGGUACCUUGGGUUGCUUAAGCGACGUUUAAAGGUGCAGAAAAUGAACCCUCCUUUCUUUUCAAGAGAUGGGGAGAACCAGGGAAAGGUAGAUGUUUGAUUUCGUUUUUGCUUACACCAAGUAACCGGUGUCAGAGGAAGAGAGAAUUUUGUAUGUCAGAGGGUGAGUGGCUGAGUCGCUGAGUGAGAGAGAGAGUCUCUAUCAUGUCUGACUUGGAGUUUUUUCUCCUCCUCCUUGCGUCAAUCUCAGUUCCCCUUGUGAUUCUCAAUCUGAUCAAAAGAAAGCAAAGCGGACUUAAUCUACCUCCGGGAAACACGGGUUGGCCUUUUCUGGGUGAAACCAUCGGCUAUUUAAAGCCGUACUCGGCCACUUCAAUAGGAGACUUCAUGGAGCAACACAUAUCAAGGUAAACCGUCGAAACCAAAUUGAACCCAAGAUUCUUGUACCUUCUUCCUUUUCCCUUUCCUGAUCGGGGUUCAGUUAAAUCUGCAGGUUCGGAGAAAUCUACAAGUCCAAUCUGUUUGGCGAGCCAACCAUAGUCUCAGCGGAUUCUGGGCUGAACAGAUUCAUACUACAGAACGAAGGAAAAUUGUUUGAAUGCAGCUAUCCCAGAAGCAUAGGUGGAAUUCUUGGGAAAUGGUCCAUGCUGGUUUUAGUUGGAGACAUGCAUAGAGACAUGAGAACCAUCUCCCUCAACUUCUUGAGCCAUGGCAGGCUUAGGACUCAUCUCCUACCAGAGGUGGUGAAGCACACUUUGCUUGUUCUAAGCUCUUGGAAGGAGAAUUGUACAUUUUCUGCUCAAGAUGAAGCUAAGAAGGUAAGACUUUUUUUAUCCUUUCUCCAAAUUUACAUUCUCAGAAACAAUUUAAACGUUUAUAGUUGGAUAUGAAUAGUUUUUUAAGGAAUGCUUAGCUGAUUGAGGACCAAUUUCACAGUUUACCUUCAAUCUGAUGGCAAAACAUAUCAUGAGCUUGGAUCCCGGAAAGCCGGAGACUGAGCAGCUUAAGAAAGAGUAUGUUACUUUCAUGAAAGGAGUGGUAUCUGCUCCUUUGAAUUUCCCUGGAACUGCAUACAGAAAAGCCCUACAGGUAAGGGAUGAAGUAGAGCUAAAAAGGAAAUAGUCGGUAAAGUGAAUAACUUAAAUUUACAUGAAAAUUAUGAAAUAUGAAGAAACUCCAAACAACCCAUUUGACAAAUCUUCUGGUUUUGUGUUUCUGCUCAACAGUCUCGGUCCACCAUCUUAAAAUUUAUCGAGCUGAAGAUGGAAGAGAGGAUUCAGAAACUGAGGGGAGGAGGGUUUGAGAAUAUGGAGGAUGACGAUCUUCUUGGAUGGGUGCUGAAGCAUUCCAACCUUUCAACUGAGCAAAUCCUGGACUUGGUACUGAGCUUGCUCUUUGCUGGCCAUGAAACUUCAUCAGUAGCAAUAGCUUUAGCUAUCUACUUCUUGGAAGGCUGUCCCAACGCCGUUCAACAGCUAAGAGUAAGCAUCAUACAACCAUCUCUCCACUCUUUUACAUUUAUUCUUUAUUAAUAAUAGACACCCCUUCUCUUAAAUCAUCAUAAUGUUCUCUCCUCUACAUUCAGGAAGAACACCUUGAAAUUUCCAGGGCCAAGAAGCAAUCAGGAGAGUUGGAAUUGAGUUGGGAAGACUACAAAAAAAUGGAAUUCACUCAAUGUGUAAGCUCUCUUCACCAUCUUUUCCAUCAAAAAAAAAAAAAACAAAGGGUUCUGUUUGAGAUUGUUCCAUAUAAAAACAUUCUGUAAUGGCAUGUGAAGGUUAUUAGUGAGACACUGAGGCUUGGAAAUGUGGUUAGGUUUCUACACAGAAAGGCCCUGAAAGAUGUCCGGUACAAAGGUAGGAAAUUGAAUUGAAAUGUGUAAUUUUCUCGCCGGAAUCUGCAGACACACUGUUUUGAGUUAUUAAAAUUGUAAUUAAUUUGCGUGCUUUUUUUUCUUCAAAAUUUGAUAAAGGGUAUGACAUUCCAUGUGGGUGGAAAGUGCUUCCGGUGAUUGCAGCAGUGCACUUGGAUCCUUCCCUUUUCGACCAACCUCAACACUUCAAUCCUUGGAGAUGGCAGGUCAGUUCUUUCCUUGGUUCAAAACUUCAACUUCAACAACAUACACCUUUAUUGUUACCAUCGUUUUUCCUCUUUCCUUCAUUUUCUUUGAAAAUUUUUGGAUUUAACAUAUUUCCUACUAAGUCAUAUCAUCAAAAGGAGGAUAAACAAAGUCAUGAUCUAUGGUAUGAAGCACGGCCUUUAGCAUGUAAUUGCCUUAUAAAAAUUGAAUUAUAAUUAAAUUAAAUUAUGCUAAAAUUCAAUUCUAUAUCAAAAAAAUCAUUAUACUUCCAAAAAAAGAAUACCAAAAUGCGUUGUCAAAAUUAAUUUUUUUUAUGUCUUCACAUAUUGUGAACUCAAAGAAAGGUGAGUACGUACACUAUUACAAUUUCUUUUCUUUUUCCUUUUAAAAAAAAAUUCAUAAUGCAUUAUCUAGGUUUUUAAAUAAUUAAAAAAAUAAAAUAAAAUAAAAUGGAUUAAUGGUUAUAAUGAUUGGACGGUGCAUACAGGUGUUUAGAUGGGUCUAAAGGUAUGCUCCUCCUCUUCUUUCUCAUGAUGACACUCGUGGGUGAGGAGGUUAAAGCUAUUUAUCAACCAUGGUCCAAACCCAAAUGUUUUUUUUUUUUCGUUAAUUUUUAUCUGAAUUUACUUGGGUUAUUACUUAGAUCAUGUAUCUUUUUUAUGCCGACAAGUUUUUAUUUCCGAUGUUGAAGUGAUAGGAUUUAAAUUCCGUAACAUAUGGAUAGGAUAUGGCUAAAAAUCGACCUCAGCAAACAAAUUCCAAGCAAAAUUAUAAAAGAAAGAAUUUAAUAUGAUGUAAAAUUACAAGCCGAGCAAGAGAAAACAGAGGAGAAAGAGUAGGAAAAAGGGAAUGAUAGGUGUAGGCAAAAUGCGAGCAAAAAUUGAAUUUUUGCAAUAUGCUGAACUGUCAUUAUCAAGGAUGCUAUGGUACGGAGGUGGGAACCGAGAGAUGUGAUCAACGCACAGCUUUUCCUCUCAGGGGCGUGUGGGGAGAGGGUGGGGUUUUGAGAUGAUUAAAGCCCCAUGUGGCUGUGGGGUUCUCACGUGCACGUGCAUGAGUGCUUUCUCUGCCUGCCCCUGUCACUAACUGGUCCAACAUAAAUUCCAUAACUGAACACACUCUAUUAUAUGCUCUCAGCCACCAUCCAAAUAAUGCUUCGCACAUAAUUAAUCUUAUGAUCAUGUUCUUCUCUCUCUCUCUCUCUCUCUCUCUCUCUCUCUCUCUCCAACCGUAAAUGCAUUAUACUUGUGGUUUACUCUAUAAAACAUUCCUUGGAAAUAUAAUAGUGUGAGUUGAAAAUAAUUUUGAAAAAGCAUUAGUUUGAUUAUUAUGUUAGUUGAAAAUACUUCUAAUAAAACAUUCCGUUUGAUAUAUUUUUUUUAAAAAGAAACAUUAUUAUGUUAGUUGAAAAACCCUUUUUCCAUGGCCCCUUUUGCCCAAGAAAAACGUUCAUGUAAAGGGAUUUUAGCGUGUGACGCAUGUGUUGGGGCAAUCAAAGGGGCGCAUGAGAAAAGGAUAGGGGAGUAUUGAUAUACAUGUAUAUGUGCUAAAAAGCCUCUCUGGAACCUCAAUGAUAUAUUUUUUUUUCUUUUGGGGGUGUGUGGUAGCAGAAUAAUGGUAACCGAGGAAAUUCGACUAGCUGGAGCACAGCCACGAAUCAAAACUUCAUGCCAUUUGGGGGAGGACCACGGCUAUGUGCGGGCUCUGAAUUGGCCAAACUGGAAAUGGCGGUGUUCAUCCACCAUUUGGUUCUCAACUACAACUGGGAGUUGGUUGAUAAGGAUCAGGCUUUUGCCUUCCCAUUCGUCGAUUUUCCGAAGGGCCUACCCAUCAAGGUCCGACACCACAAUUUCACGUGAAAACGGCCUCGUUCGUCACUCUCCGCAGGCCUCAGCUCACAUGUUGGAUAUACAAACAGAAGAAAUCCUCAUUUCUCCCUCCACGUCAGCCUGUUGCUCUUGGAUUUUCCAACGGCCUAGUCUUUUUAUUUUUAGUUGUUCACAUGAACAAAGGGAAGACAUAAAAGAAGUGAAGUACAGUUAUGUUAGGACCACAACCCCCGAACCCCAACCCCAACCCCUCUUUGUAAAUUUUAAUUUUUCCCUGAGCCUUGCGGGCCUGGGAGUCUAUUCAUUAUAUUUAUAUGUGAUAUGGUCUUUCCUUUGCUUUAAUGUAAUUCUCUUUCCCUGCCUCCCGAGAAUUAUCUCAUUUCUCUCAGCAUUAUCUGAAUAUAUCUCUUGGAUGGGACUCCUUGGAUGUUGGGCCAUUUUCUCCCUUAUUAUCAACCACCAUACCAACGUGGGGUGCCUCUUCAAGGGCUCAUUAAGACCCCCAUUUAUCACUGUUCCACCAUCGCCACAGGAAUAGGGAACCAGGCUUCAUUUGUAACUUUCAGGAAAGUGAUAUUUUCUUGAUCCUGCCGGUGCCCAACGGGAUGGAACCAAGAUGGGGUAUAAAGGCUGUUUUGUCCUUUGGGAGCUAUUCCCGUUCUCUCUUGUUUUCCCGUUCCGCAAAUGUCCAACAGUUUCUGGGUGGUACCGUUUUUUUUGCUCUUCUUUUUAUCAUCUUGGAGGGUCCCGAUCCAAAUAAUUACGUGUGUCCGCAGCACAAGUGGCGCAUCUUUCUCUGUUCAGGGACCCUUUUAUUUCCCCUCUUUUCUCCGGUGGCAGUGGGGCUGUAACCGGUGGAUGGAUUGUUGCAUACCAACCUUAAAAUAAUA
rnacentral:lncRNA from 1 species